GGCACAUAUAGCAUAAUAGAUACGUUUAGCAUUACAAACAUAUUUGUCACAGGGACAAAGCUAUCACAUGGACUGGAAUUUAAAUGUUCAUACAUCUCACUUCUACAGAGAGACACAUCAACACAAAAUAAUCACAAUAGGUAAUCAGGAUAUCACAGGAAACUAACUAACAGAAAAUUCUCAUACAUUGAAAUAGUAAAACAGAUAACAACUCCACACUAAAGUUCAACACAUAAUUCACAAGAAGUAAUCUGAGGUUUUACAAACCACUAGCUGACGAACAGGGCACAAAAUAUUGAACUAGUAUAAAAUAUAGUUGAUCAAGUCUCCACAGUAACUGUUCACAAAAUUACACAACGAGAGAGAUGCAGUUUAACAGUAGCAGAGGUUCAGCAAGGAGAGAAGGUGCAGCAGUGGUGAGAGAGCAGCAAUUGUUUUGGGGAAAGGUAGUAGCAGCCAGCAGGGAUGUGGGAGAGGAGCAGCAGAGAGGUAGAGAGCAGCAGCUGCAGCAGCGUUGAGAUAGGUGCAACGAGGGUUGAGAGAAGGGAAGCAGCAGUUGGCAAGUGGAGGUUGAGAUUCAGAGAAGGCAGAGAGCGUGCAACAAAGUUUGGGUGAAGAAGAGAGGUGGAAGAGCGGCAAGGGGGCGCUGGAGAAGAAAGAAGCAGCGGGCUAGGUUUGAGGGUGAGCACCAACAGGUUGAAGGAGGAGGAACAUCAGCGGUGAGAAAAGAGUAGCAGCAGUAGGGAGAUGGCUGUAGGCGCGGCGACGGCGGCCGAGAUGGAUGUAUGUUGCGGCGGAUGGGGUGUUGGAGGCUGUUGGUGUUGUGGACAGAGGGGUAAGGUAGGAUGGCUAGGAGGCGCACCACCACGACGGCCUGGCUGUGGCGGCGACCGGAGGUGGAGAAGGAGGGUGAGGGAAAGAGAGAAGUGCCAGGCCCGAUUUUGGAAUGGAGGCUGCUAGGGAUUUUGAUCCCCUCUUUUCAUCUGCACCUUUGCAUUUUGGCCCUCCUACUUCUCGUCUUUUGCCUCAAGUAGAUCCCCAUUCUUCUUUAGCAAUCCCCCUGGGUCUUUAAUUCUUCAUACUCAGUCCCUCCUCUUCUUAUUUCCCUUAGUCUCAUAGUCGGAAUCCUGAAGUUUAUAGUGCCUUUGCGCACUUUUCUGCAAAAGAAACAAAUGACCAGUAAAUGUUCCCUUUUUAUGAUUAUCACGCAAACAGUCAAUCAAACAUAGCAAGAAUGGAUGAAUAAAUCACAAUAGAUGGUAUAUUUGAGUGCCGAAUUAUAUAUGUCAAAUAUACUUAUCAAGUUCCCCCACACUUAAAUCUUUGCUUGUCCUCAAGCAAAGGAAUAUGACAAAGGCAAUAUAGUGAACAGUAAACUGAGUAAAGAAUGUCCUAGUAAAAUAGAUCUCCAAACGAUGCAUGCUUUGGACUUAGCUAGUGAAAAUUAAUGGUUAGGAGUGCUUCAAAGCAGUAGGAUACUAGUAGACUUGACCAUUUUAAACUUUUACAAAAAUAAAAGAAGAUCAGCCAGUUUAAGUGCGGAUUGUGCCAAAAGGUUCCUAAAGAGAGCAUGAUCCCGAGAGACACCUAUUACUAGGAACACAACAUUGUGGUAGAACCACUUAUUGGAUUUGAAGGAAGAAACAAAGAUAAUAUUUUACCGGUCUCACCAAAGGAACAUACCACCGAUCCCGAGAACAUGGUAUACACCUGGCUCAACCCUUUAUUAGUUUUUUUGUUUGUCUCCCCAAAGGAACAUACCACCGAUCCCGAGAACAUGGUAUACACCUGGUUCGACAGUUACAUUUUUAUUAUUGAUUACUGCCCAAGCUAACCUGAUUUCACAUGCCACCGAUCCAGGGAACAUGACAUGCUACUGUAGGUAGUGAGACUUAUUUAUCAUUAUUACUUAUCUUAAAUGAACAACGCAUAAGCACAAAAACAGGAAUCAUCACUUCUCCAUGUCUGGUUCACAUGCUACCGAUCCAGGGAACAUAGCAUGCUCAUCCAUAGUGGUUAGGUGAUUGCUCUCAAUGGGAACACACUUGGCACAAAUUCAGCAUCUAAACAUGGUGAUCUAGGUGUACCAUAGUAAAUUCAGAAGAUGAUUUAGUUUUCUAGUGUACUAGGGAUUUGAGCACUCAAAACUAAUAGCUUUCACUACUUUCAGCAGAGCAAACAAGGUGUAGAUCACUAGUUUACAAGGCAUUCAACAAUCAGUUCACAUAUUCUCAUCAAGCACCAUAUGUCCAAUAAAAUUCAGUAGGGCAACAUUUAAGACAUGGGUUAAGCAACCCAAAUAACAUUUGAUUUCAGCAUGUAUCAAUGGAUGAUAUACUCGGAACGGGUCAUGAAACAGCUCACCGGGCACAAUGAAGUAGCACUCGCUUGAUCACUCUCUAAGUUGCUGCUCUUCUUCUCUUGCUUUCACAAGCAUACUCCAUAUUCACUCUUCUUCAUGUGUGCCCCUUGCUUCUCCUCGUCACCAUGCUCUGAAUCCUCCGGGAUCCCAAGGAAUAUCACCUCGAACCUGGUCAACAUGUAGUGGAUCGUGCACAAGAAAAAACCUGAAAGAACACUCAACAAACAAGCCAAUACAAAUGAUAGGGACAAUGCCCUCUAAGUCAUCAAUAUAGUAUCCUAUCACAUAAGCAUAUCUAUUGAGCAUAUCAUACACAGGUAUCAUCAAUUCAUAUGGUGCAUAGGUAAUAUCAACAAUAUGAGAUAACUUGUCGAGAAAGCUGAGAUAAUACCUGAGAUGAUAUGAGAUAAGUUUUAGGACUACUUUAGUGGAAGAUACUAUGGAAGGCAUGGUAGUAGAAACUUCCACCGGACUCGUGUCAACAAGUGAAAUAUUAGAGCUUGGCUUCUUGACAUCUAGAGCAACCUUGUCAUAAUCAACAAUGAAGGUUUCCAUCUCAGGCUCAAGUGUUGAGGAAUCGAUGUGGCUAAUGUCAUCAAAGGUGAACUUUUCCCUGUCUGGUUCAGGCAGGACAUGAUCUAUAUCAACCAGAGGUGACUCCUCAAUAUCAAAGGUAACUAACUGCAGCUCUGGUUCAUCCACAGAAGAAUCAUCACAAUGCAAAACUGAAUCUCGAGCACUAGUAUCCAUAUGAUCUACAAUGUGUGUGUCAACUAGGCUGGUGUUAUCACCGUCAAAGAUAAUCCAUGAAAGCUCAAUCUUGUCACACACAGAAACUGGUUCUGGAUUUUGUGUAAGACAUUCUUGCUGAGGUGAAGUGUAGUGACAGCAAACCAACAAAUCUGAGCUGGGUCUCUCACUGUACCACUGAAGUUGGUGGAAAGCUAUGCUCUCAAUCAGCAAAAAGGCAUCAUCAAGUGUCUUGUUUGUAAUAGCUCCACCCGCUGCCAUAUCGACAUAAGCUCGAGUGUCCAAAGUCAACCCUCUAUAGAAUAUCUGGAGCUCUAACCAUCUCUCGAGCCCAGGAUUAGGACAUCUCCUGAAUAAGGCUUUGUAUCUCUCCCAAGCAUCAUACAAGCUCUCACCUUCACGCUGGACGAAAUUGAAAAUCUCAUCUCGAAUUGCAGACUGCUUGUGUAGUGGGGAAUAUUUAUCCAAGAAAGCUCGUGAUAUCUCGUUCCAACCGAAUGAUCUUGAUGGCAAGGAUCGAUACCAAGCACGAGCAUCAUCUCGGAGAGAGAAUGUGAAUAGCAUGCACUUGAUAACAUCUUGAAGAACUCCAUCAUACUUUAUUGUAUCUGAAUACUCCAGGACUCGGAGCAAGUGCUCGUAAGGACCUUCAGUAGGCAACCCUCCAAACUGACGUUGUUGAACCAAAGCAAUAAGACCAGGCUUUAGCUCAAAAAUUUCCGCCUCAAAAGACGGCCAAAGUGGCCCUGUGAAAUAGCAUUGGCUGCUUGGCAUCCAAACAUCACGAAGCAUCGCCAUAUCUCCACCAAGUGUAACUAUCAAUCAACCUACAAAUAGUUCAGAUUUCCUACGCACACUCAUAAGUAGUAAAUACCAGUCAGAAUGUUAGUAUCCUAAUAAGCUGAAGCAACAACAAGGAAAAAAUAUAAAAGAAACACAGAAAAAGAAAUACACGAUGAAUUAAACACGAAACUAAAAUAAACCUAGUCUAUAGCUAACAUAAUCGCUCGACGCUAGUCCUCGGUAACAGCGCCAAAAUGAUCGAGUGUAUGUACAGUGGGGUGUUUCGCCCAAAUCUGCAAGUGUGUCGUGUUCUCCACAAAGACUAGGCAAAUCAGCGGCUAUGCUCGGCUAAAUCUAGAUAACACAUUUCAAAUGAUGAUUGCAGGGAAAUAAACCUAAAAUAUCAUAUUUUAAAAAAAAACGUCGACAAAUAAGAUGCAAACAAGCAUAGGGGGAAUAAAAAUGCAAUCACUGUAUUUUUGGUAUUUUUAUUAGGCUUGAGAAAUUAGAAACUAACAUAAAAGGAAACGGCAGGACAUGAACACAUAUAGCAUAAUAGAUACGUUUUGCAUUACAAACAUAUUUGUCACAGGAACAAAGUGUAGGAUCGAAAGUAUGUCUAGAGGGGGGUGAUUAGACUACUUGACCAAAUAAAAACAUAUCCUUUUCCCAAUUUUAGUUCUUGGCAGAUUUUAGCAACUAUGGACAAGUCAAGCAAUCUUAACACAAUUCAAGCAAGCAUGCAAAGAGUAUAUGAGCAGCGGAAAGUAAAGCAUGCAACUUGCAAUAAUGUAAAGGGAAGGUUUUGGAGAGUGCAAACGCAAUAGGUGUCGUGGUUCUAAGCCUGACAGUAGAAAGGAGGGUAGAUAUGGAGAGGCAAGAUCUUAGCUAUGGCGAAGAUGUACACACGAGAUUUACGAGUUCAGGCCCUUCUCUGAGGAAGUAAUAGCCCUACGUCUCGGAGCCCGGAGGCGGUCAAUUGGAUUAUGUGUGUUGUAUUACAGAGAGUGCGAACCCUUGUGCCAGAGGAGGGGGGUGGCUUAUAUAGAGUGCGCCAGGACCCCAGCCUGCCUCCAUUACAAGGGAACUAAUGUACAUAAAGUAAGGGGCAUUACUGGUAACGCCAGCAUUAAGUACUCUUAAUGCCCAUGAAGACUAAGGAGUGAAUAUCUGGCCGUUGUGCGUCGUACCGACUCCUGGUAUUCGACGUGGUCGAGUGGUCUCCAUAUGGUCGAGUGAAGGUAGAGAAUUCUGGUCGAGUGAUUGCAUCGUCGAGUGGAUUCUUGGUCUUCUCAUUUUUCUGGGGUAGUGACCUUGGGUAGGGUGUGUAGGUCAGGCCUAUGACCCUACCCCAGGUCUGUAUCCUCAUUAGUAGCCCCCGAAUGGAUUAAUGUGUGAGUGAAAUGUAGGUUGAAAUUGAACCUGUUCCGAGCUUCGGGACUUCGAGAGUGCUUUCUGUAAGUCUGAACGGCUACGUUGAUAUUUGAUGUCAACUCAGUUUCCUUGAUCCAUUCAGCGGACAAUCGAAUGAACUGUGGGUCUCGUGUGCCGAGCGUUAUGUUGGAGCACGGGAUCUUUGGGUGCGAUUGUCUGUAGCGUAUCCCGGAUUUCACGGGAUACUAAAUUUCAGGGGAGCGCGCCAAACAGGGGAGGCCGAAGCGGGCGGAGCGGAUAAGCAGUGAUUCCUCGAUUCCCGCGCCGCCUUUUUCACCAUGUACGUUGCGCGCGACUGUUGCGGGAUUUGACGGGAUCACCUGGCCCCACUCGUCAUUCUUAUAAGGCGACCGGAUCGAGGCGUCUACACUAUGUGCAUUUUCUCUUCUUCCUCCUUUCUCUGUUUCUCCGCCGCACCUUACCCUUCCACUCCGACACCGCUGCCCCAUCGCUAUGGUGAAGGACAAGACGGUGGCGCUAGAGCACGCAAAGAAGACGAAGGAUGUGGCAAAGGGCAAGAAGCAGCAGCGCAGGUUGUCGCCGCGCGCGGGGCUGCCGCCGGGCUGGAUCCAGGGAGAUUGGAUCCGGUCUUUGAUUCAGCAAGCGGACCUGGACGAGCUAAUGGAGUCGGGGCUGAUCGCCAAGGGAGCGGCGAGGCUGUCGGAUGGGGAGAUGAGUCCUCAACCUCGACUGGGUGAGUGCGUUCUGCUCGCCACCCACGUCGACUGUGGCUUUUCGCUUCCCCCGCAUCCUUUCUUUCGGGGGUUUCUGAACUUUUUCGGCGCUCAACUCCACCAUUUCUCUCCCAACACCAUUACGCAUUUAGCUGCUUUCGUGUCGAUGUGCGAGAACUUCUUGGGGUGUCAAUUGCACUGGGGUCUUUUCAAACACAUCUUCACUAUUCGUUCCCAGUCGGUAAAAAAGGCCAAGUCGAGUGACUCAAAAACCCAUGUCAUCCAGAUGUGUGGGGGUUUAGGCAUCCAAAAGAGAAAAGGGAGUGCCUUUCCUACCAUGACCCUUCCCGACUCCGUUAGAGGCUGGCAGUCGACCUGGUUCUAUUGCCAAGAUGUAGCGACCCCUGGACCGGUCUCCCCCACUUCUCGUUUGACCGAGUCCAGACUCCUGCUCCACUGAAAGUGACUGCUGGUGAGAUCAUGGAGACGAGGAUGUUGGUGGACAGGGUGGUUCAGCUUAUCAACGAUGGCGUCACGGGUUUGGAUCUGUUGGAGGUGUUCCUUAGUCGACGCAUCCAGCCCCUCCAGGACCGCGAUCACCCGAUGUGGCUGUAUUCCGGGCCGGACGACACCGCUCGGACCCAUCCGGAAGAAGUUCCGCCUGCAACAGUAGCCUCGUGGCUGAGGAGCAUCACGGGCAAUCAGGAAAACCCCAGAGGGUCUAGGCGAGGCAUUCCCUUCAGCAGCGCAAAUCCACCCGACAAGAUUCUCUUUUUGUUUCGACUGUUUCUUAUUCAUGCUCCAACUGCACUUGAUAUUGACCGACCCUCGUUUGACCAAUUUGCUCUGUAGGUGUUCACUAAGAUGCAUUAGAUGCCCAAUGGUGAACAGGCCUUGGAACAGGCCCAGGAGGGGGAGGAAAGCGCGGAGGAUAGUGUUGAGUGGGAUUCUCAGGGAAGUGACGAGGAGGAGGAGAGCAAGGAAUCAGACAAGGAGAAGGAAGUCGACUCGCUGCCACAUGCCGAACGUCGAUCCAAACAGUAGUAUGAUCCGGUCGGCAGGCGUGGGAAAGGCGUGGGUCCGAGUGUCGGUACUCAGAAACGCACUCUGACGUCGACUCCAGAGCCGGCAGAGAAGGUGGCCAAGCAGCCUAAAGUUGCUCCCCACCAAGACUCUGAAGACCUUGCCACGAAUCAAGAUGGACAUCCCCGUUGCCUCAGGGUGAGUAUCUUGUUUAAGUUUCUAUAAGUCGACUGAAACUUUUCUUGAUCUGACCGACCAACUCUUGUGUCCUUUCAGCCCUAGCUCUGCUGCCACCGACAUGGAUGUUGACAAAGCGCCAGGAGACGAAGAAGCCACCUCACGAGCUGGUAAGUUCAUUAACUCAGCUCUGCUUAACCGAGUGGGCGGUCGAUUGACUGAAAAUUUGAUACUUCUCUUCUUAUGUAGCUCCGCAAGACGUCAUUGUGCUUCCUGACAAUGAAGAAGAAGAGGCGCCUCUACGGGAGAGGAGGAAGAAGAGUGGAGGUUCGAGCAGAAGGAGGCUUGAAGUCCAAAUCCCUCAGUCAACACCGGUGCAGUCGACACCGGCGCCCGAGGCGAUGGUUCGGGCUAAUGUCACGUUUGCUAACCCGUUGACGACUGAUCGUCCGUCGGGGUCGACUGCACAAAUGCCCGUUGCACCGGUGCAACUCCACUCAUCUGAUCCAGCAACUGCUUCGACCCCUCGGGAGCCAUCCCUCUUUGCUACAUAUCAAACUCCGGAUGACUCACCGAGUGCCGCUAGGGAAGCUCUUCGCUAGGCGAAUCUUGUCAUGGAGCAGGUGAAAGUGAUGCAUGAAGCUAGUCAGAUAGCCUACAAUGCCAGCACUGCCCUUCAGACGAAUGUCCAGGUCAGUAGAAUUCUGACCGAAUCUUUGAGCGUUACUUUAUAUCUAAUCAACCACUGGGUGUUCUUUCGAUUGAAACUCAGGAGAUCUUCAAUUUUGCACUUUCCGAAUCAGUGGGGGCACGUCGAGUGCACCCACUGGGUGUAGUCCCCGAGACCACGGUCGACUGCUGGCAGUCGACUGGGGUCUGAAUUUUUUUUGAACUCAUGUUGAAUAUAGAUCUGAUCCAGUGGGGGCAUGCUAAGUGCAUCCACUGGGUGUAGUCCCCGAGACUAUUGUUGAAUAUUUGAUUCAGCAGUAGUCUUAGAGUAAAUCUAUUCCUUCACAGUCCCUUAUUUCUGUCGACUGAAAUGCUUGUCUUUCUGACUGCAGAGGUCUUGUGAUCUUGGAGCUCGGCUCACCGAGUUGAAGAAGAAGCAUAUCAGCGUUGAACUUGACCUCGAAUUGGCGAAGAAGAACCUGAAGACUGCCUAACAAGAAACGACCAUCAUGGGAGGUAACCAUUCGACUGUUUCGUCUGCCUGGUGGACUUUCCGCGGCCUUUCUUUCAGUCUCUUUGAACCAAGUGACUUCACAUAAGCAGAUGUGCGUAGUGAAAAUCGCCAACUCCAGUCUCAUCUGAAGAGUGUUGUUUCUUUAGAGAGGAUGAAGGAAGCUUUGGAGCAAAAGGAUCUGGAUCUGGCGGCUGCUCAGAAGGAGGCACGCGAGAAGACGAAGCUCGCGGACCAGAAGCUGGCUUCAGUUGGCAAGUUGGAGGAUGAGAACGCGAAAUUGAAGACUGUUGUCUUGGACGCCAAUCGUGAAGUCGAACAACUGAGGAAGGACAAGGAGAAUCUGACCGCUAAAGUUGAUGGUGUCAUGACCAAGACGGGCAAGCUGGAGUCUCAUUUGGAACAACUUGCGGCGAAACUCGUCUCAAAGCUUGAAGGUAUGACUGUUCCAUUAAAUAACUGUUGUCAACUGAAAUUUAUGAUAUUGUCGACUCAUUGCUUGUUGUGAUGGACCAGAACUCUGUCAGGACUUUGAAGCCGAGACUGGACGGGUCGAGACAGGUCUCGACCCCAUCAAUUGUCCUAUGAAAGAUGAAGUCGCGAUGAACUUGCUUCGAUUGGAAUCAUGCUUGGACGAUGCAGUCGACUAUCUGGCUCGACUGAAGGCGGCGAUGGCUCAAGUGGACACCGAACUCUGGCCUCAGGCGGCAAUGUCUCAAGACCUCGAGUCUUUAAUGACUCGACUAGAUCAGAUUCCAGGUCGAGUGCAAGAGUGGAAGAUAUCUGCUACCCGUUGUGGUACUGACGUCGCCUUGUCUUUGGUCCGAGUGCACUACAAAGAAGCUAAGGAUGACAAGCUGGCAGCUCUCAAAGUGGCAAACACUAAGGAGCAUUCCUUCUAGGAUUUCAUGGACACUUUCCUCGAGGCAGCCACUCGCAUCACCGACAGUAUCGACCUGGACAGCUUCUGCGACCCGGCCAGUCCUUCUCCUGCCAAGUGAUUAAAAAACACACUAUGCCACCGCUUUUAUUUGCCUCAGAAUGCCGAGUGGAUUUGUAACCGUUAAAACUCCUUCGGGCCUGAUACCUGAGCACUUUAUUCUGUGGUUAAGAACCUCUGAAUUUAUCAUCUCACAUAUUGCGUCUACCUUCGACUGAAACCUGCUUUUCUCUCGAACUGCUGUUUGUUUGCUUAAUGCAGCUUCUGGAAGAGGAGGGCCAGACGCCUGAUCAAUGAUUUUGCAUUCCAGUCGGCCGACCAGGUGAUCUUUGAGUAGCAUUGAUCAGCUCAUCAGCAAGGCACUCAGCAAUGGUCUUAACGUUCCAAUCGACCGAUCGGGUGAUCCUUGAGUAGAAUUGAUCAGCUCAUCAGCAAGGCACUCAGCAAUGGUCUUGACGUUCCAGGCGACCGAUUGGGUGAUCCUUGAGAAGCAUUUAUCAGCUCAUCAGCAAGGCACUCAACAAUGGUCUUGACGUUCCAGUUGACCGAUCGGGUGAUCCUUGAGUAGCAUUGAUCAGCUCAUCAGCAAGGCACUCAGCAAUGGUCUUGACAUUCCAGUCGACCACCUGGUAAGGUUUUUCAAACUUAGGCGAGUACGGGAUUGCAGCUAAGCCCCCGAGUGAGAGGAUUGCUCCCCACUUGACGGAAUUUUUCGAACUUAGGCGAGUACGGGACUGCAACUAAGCCCCCGAGUGGGAGAUUUGCUCACCACUCGGUAGGAUUUUAACAAACUUAGGCGAGUGCGAGACUGCAGCUAAGCCUUCGAGUGGGAGGUUUGCUCACCACUCGGUAGGAUUUUUUCAAAAUUAGGCGAGUGCUGGGCUGCAGCUAAGCCCCCGAGUGGAAGGUUUGCUCACCACUCGGUAGAAUUUUUUCAAACUUAGGCGAGUGCGAGACUGCAGCUAAGCCUCCAAGUGGAAGGUUUGCUCACCACUCGGUAGGAUUUUUUCGAACUUAGGCAAGCACUGGGCUGCAGCUAAGCUCCCGAGUGGGAGGUUCACUCACCACUCGGUAGGAUUUUUUCAAACUUAGGCGAGCGUGAGACUGUAGCUAAGCCUCCGAGUGGGAGGCGGACUCACCACUCGGUAGGAACUUUUAAACUUAGGUGAGUGCGAGACUGCAGCUAAGCCUCUGAGUGGGAGGCGGACUUCUCACUCGGUAGGAUUUUACAAACUUAGGCGAGUACUGGGCUGCAGCUAAGCCCCCGAGUGGGAGGCGGACUCACCACUCGGUAGGAUUUUACAAACUUAGGCGAGCACUGGGCUGCAGCUAAGCCCCCGAGUGGGAGGCGGACUCACCACUCGGUAGGAUUUUACAAACUUAGGCGAGUACUGGGCUGUAGCUAAGCCCCGAGUNNNNNNNNNNNNNNNNNNNNNNNNNNNNNNNNNNNNNNNNNNNNNNNNNNNNNNNNNNNNNNNNNNNNNNNNNNNNNNNNNNNNNNNNNNNNNNNNNNNNNNNNNNNNNNNNNNNNNNNNNNNNNNNNNNNNNNNNNNNNNNNNNNNNNNNNNNNNNNNNNNNNNNNNNNNNNNNNNNNNNNNNNNNNNNNNNNNNNNNNNNNNNNNNNNNNNNNNNNNNNNNNNNNNNNNNNNNNNNNNNNNNNNNNNNNNNNNNNNNNNNNNNNNNNNNNNNNNNNNNNNNNNNNNNNNNNNNNNNNNNNNNNNNNNNNNNNNNNNNNNNNNNNNNNNNNNNNNNNNNNNNNNNNNNNNNNNNNNNNNNNNNNNNNNNNNNNNNNNNNNNNNNNNNNNNNNNNNNNNNNNNNNNNNNNNNNNNNNNNNNNNNNNNNNNNNNNNNNNNNNNNNNNNNNNNNNNNNNNNNNNNNNNNNNNNNNNNNNNNNNNNNNNNNNNNNNNNNNNNNNNNNNUUAGGCGAGCACUAGGCUGUAGCUAAGCCCCCGAGUGGGAGGCGGACUCACCACUCGGUAGGAUUUUACAAACUUAGGCGAGCACUGGGCUGUAGCUAAGCCCCCGAGUGGGAGGCGGACUCACCACUCAAUAGGAUUUUAUAAACUUAGGCGAGCACCGGACUGCAGCUAAGCCCCCGAGUGGGAGGCGGACUCACCACUCGGUAGGAUUUUAUAAACUUAGGUGAGCACUGGGCUGCAGCUAAGCCCCCGAGUGGGAGGCGGACUCACCACUCGGUAGGAUUUUAUAAACUUAGGCGAGCACUGGGCUGCAGCUAAGCCCCCGAGUGGGAGGCGGACCCCCACUCGGUAGGAUUUUAUAACUCUAUCUUAGGCAAAACAGGUUCGCUGCUAAGGCAAUGCAUACAAAAGAAAUAAAAUACAAUAAUUCAGAAGACUGUAAAAUGAUGUCUUUUGAUAAAAAAACUAAGAGGUACUUCUUAUUUCAUGUCAUUAGUCUAAAUACUUAAGAGUAAAAAGGACGGAGCAGUUCCACGUUCCAGGCGCGUGGUUCAUCUUUGUUGUGCUCGACAUUGAAGAGACGAUAUGCUCCGUUGUGGAGCACCUUGGUGAUGACGAAAGGGCCUUCCCAAGUGGGGCGAGCUUGUGUGGCUUCUAUUGAUCCACUCGGAGGACUAAGUCCCCUUCCUGGAAUGCCCGACCCCUUACGUUCCUGGCAUGGAAUCGAUGCAUGUCUUGAUGAUAAAUGGUCGACCGGAUCAAGACCAUCUCUCUUUCUUCCUCCAGGAGGUCGACUGCAUCUUGUCGAGCUUGCUCUGCUUCCUCCUCUGAGAAGAGUUCGACUCGUGGAGCGUUGUGGAGCAAAUCGCUCAACAAAACGGCUUCGGCCCCGUAGACUAAGAAGAAUGGAGUCCGGCCAUUCGACCGAUUGGGAGUUGUCCUCAGCCCCCACAGCACUGACGGGAGCUCAUCAAGCCAAGAUCUAGCCGCGUGCUUGAGGUCACGCAUUAACCGAGGCUUCAACCCUUUGAGAAUCAAUCCAUUCUCCCGUCAGCCUGUCCAUUCGACUAAGGGUGGGCAACCAAAGCAUAAUCGACCCUCGUGCCUUGGGAAACGCAAAAGGUUCUGAACUCGUCGGAAUCGAAGUUCGACCCGUUAUCCGUGAUGAUGCUGUGUGGUACACCAUAUCUGAAUAUCAACUCUCUAAUAAAACUCACAGCAGUGCUUGCUUCAAGAUUUUUGAUGGGCUUGGCUUCGAUCCACUAAGUAAACUUGUCGACUGCUACCAGCACAUGGGUAAAUCUGCUCCUGCCGGUCCUCAGAGGUCCAACCAUGUCCAAUCCCCAGAUGGCAAAAGGCCAGACGAGUGGAAUAGUCUUUAGAGCUGGUGCGGGUUUGUGUGACAUAUUGGAGUAAAACUGACACCCCUCACACUUAUCCACUAUCUCCUUUACCAUCUCGUUGGCGUACGGCCAAUAAAAUCCGGCUCGGUAUGCUUUGGCCACGAUGGUCCGAAAGGACGCAUGGUGACCACAGGUCCCCGAGUGAAUAUCAUUGAGGAUCAUUCGGCCUUCUUCUGGCAUGAUGCACUUCUGGCAAACCCCAAUCGCACUUUCUCUGAACAACUAUCCUUUUAUCACAGUAAAGUCUUUAGAUCGUCGGACGAUCUGUCGAGCUCCUUCCUCAUCCUCUGGGAGUUCCUUCCUAAGAAUGUAAGCGAUGUAUGGCACUGUCCAGUCGGGGGUGAUGACCAAGACCUCCAUGACUAAGUCGACCACGGUUGGGAUUUCAACUUCAGUCGGAUCCGUGGCGCUCUUGGGCUGCGGUGACUCCUCGAUGAAAGGAUCUUCCUGAACUGAAGGUGAAUGAAUAUGUUCCAGAAACACGUUUCGGGGAAUAGCCUCUCUCUUUGAGCCUAUCUUGGCUAAUUCAUCCGCAGCUUGAUUUUUUAGUCGGGGAAUAUGGUGGAGCUCCAACCCUUCAAACAUCUUCUCCAACUUUCUCAUUACGUUGCAGUAACCAGUCAUGGCUGGGCUCCUGACAUCCCAUUCCUUCAUCACUUGGUUGACCACCAAAUCCGAGUCGCCGUAGACCAUAAGGCGACGGACGCCGAGUGAUAUGGCCAUAUGCAACCCGUAUAGGAGUGCUUCGUAUUCGGCUUCGUUAUUGGAGGAAUCAAAAUGAAUCUAGAGAACAUAACUCAGCCUGUCUCCGCGGGGGGAUACCAAAACUACUCCAGCGCCUGAACCAUUCAACAUCUUGGAGCCAUCAAAGAACAUAGUCCAAUGCUCCGAGUGAACUUGAGUCGGCAAUUGCUGCUCAAUCCACUCGGCAAGGAAAUCUGCAAUUGCUUGGGACUUGAUGGCCUUCUUUGCCUCGAACUUGAUAUCUAAUGGAAGGAGUUCGAUCACCCAUUUUGCUACUCGACCAGUGGCGUCUCUGUUAUUCAGAAUUUCAGAUAGUGGCGCAUCGCUGACGACUGUAAUGGAGUGGUCAGAGAAAUAGUGCGCAACUUUCUUCAUGGUCAUGUAUAUUCCAUAGACAAGCUUCUGAUAAUGUGGGUAUCGUUGCUUGGAUGGAGUCAAAACUUCAGAGAGAUAAUAGAUCGGGCGUUGAACCUUGUAAGCUUUUCCUUCUUCUUCUCGCUCGAUCGUGAGUACUGUGCUGACAACUUGUCCAGUGGCUGCAAUAUAAAGCAGUAAAGGCUCUUUGCUGAUUGGUGCAGCGAGCACCGGCUGGGUGGAAAGAAGGGUUUUGAGCUCUGCAAACGCUGUGUCAGCUUCAUUAGUCCACUCGAACUUAUCAGACUUCUUCAUCAGUCGGUAAAGAGGCAAGGCCUUUUCACUGAGACGAGAAAUGAAUCGACUCAGGGCGGCCAGACAACCAGUUUGCUUCUGAACGUCAUGCACUCGCACGAGGCAUUUCAUUCGGAGGAUGGUAUCAACUUUUUCUGGAUUGGCGUCGAUCCCUCGUUCGGAAACAAGAAAACCAAGUAACUUUCCUCCUGGAACUCCGAACAUGCAUUUUGACAGAUUAAGCUUGAUAUUGUACCUCCGCAGGUUGGCAAAGGUUUCUGCAAGGUCAGUCAAUAGGUCGGAACCUUUGCGAGACUUGACCACAAUGUCGUCCAUGUACGCUUCCACAUUCCGACUGAUUUGAGUGAGCAGGCACUUCUGAAUCAUUCUCAUGAAUGUGGCUCUGGCAUUUUUCAAACCGAAAGGCAUGGUAACAUAGCAAAAGCACCCGAAUGGGGUGAUGAAGGCUGUUUUUAUUCCAUCGGGACCAUACAGUCAGAUCUGAUGGUAUCCGGAAUACGCAUCUAGGAAAGACAAGCGCUCGCAUCCCACAGUCGAGUCGACAAUCUGAUCGAUGCGAGGGAGAGGGAAGUGAUCUUUCGGACAGGCCCGAUUGAUAUGCUUGAAAUCGAUGCACAUACGAAGUGAAUCAUCCUUCUUAGAAACCAUGACUACGUUGGCUAACCACUCGGAGUGGUAGAUUUCACAGAUGAACUUUGCUGCCAAUAGUCGAGCCACUUCUUCGCCAAUUGCUUUCCUCUUCUGCACGGCGGACCGUCGAAGGUGCUCUUUGAUGGGUUUUACUUUGGGGUCGACACGCAAACGGUGCUCAGCCAGUCCCCUGGGUAUACCUGGCAUGUCAGAGGGUUUCCAUGCGAAGAUGUCCAGUUCUCACGGAGGAACUGGAUGAGCGCUUCUUCCUAUUUGCUGUCGAGCGUCAUUGAAAUAUGAGUCUGCGCAGCGUUGGGAUUGGUCAGUUGAAUAUGAAUAGGCUUCAUUUCACCAGUCGAGUGAAAUGCAGAGUCUGUGGCAGGCUUCUUGGCUCGGAGCAAAUCACUCGGAUCUGCACUCUUCUGAUACUCUUGCAAUUCGACUGCUGCCAUGUGAGCAUCGGCGAUUUUGGAACCUUUCUAAAAGCAUUCCUCCGCCUUCUGCCGAUUGCCAGUUACUGUGAUCACACCUUUGGGUCCAGGCAUCUUCAGCUUGAGAUACACAUAACAUGGUCGAGCCAUAAAAUGUGCAUAGGCUGGCCUACCCAAAAUGGCAUGAUAGGUGCUCUGGAAAUCCAUGACUUCAAAUGUCAACUUCUCCUUACGAUAAUGCUUGGAAUCACCGAAAACCACGUCGAGGGCGAUCUGGCCGAGUGAUUCGGCUUUCUUUCCAGGGAUAACACCGUGGAAACUCAUGUUGCUCUCACUCAGUUUGGACAUCGAGAUGCCCAUCCCCUUCAAGGUUUCAACAUAAAGGUUGUUCAGGCCUCUGCCACCAUCCAUCAGUACUUUGGUCAGUCGAGUGCCCCCAACCACAGGGUCGACCACCAGUGCUUGCCUCCGAGGGGUGGCCACACGAGUGGGAUGGUCCGACUGGUCGAAUGUGAUGGCCGUCUGAGACCAUCUCAGAUAGGUGGUCUUCUCCGCAGGGGCGAACAUGUUCACUUCUCUGUUGAUGACCUUCAAUCGACUCUUGCUUUCAACAUCAGCAAAAAUCAUCAGGGUGGAAUUGACUUUGGGAUAACCAUCAUCUUCCUCUUCAUCUUCCUCCUUCUCCGACUCAUUCUCCUUCUCAUUGGGCGGUUUCUCUCGGAACUGCUGGAUUAGGAGUCGACACUGCUGAGUGGUAUGCUUCGGGUAAAUCAGAUUACCUUCCUCAUCUUUCUUUGUGUGGAUGUGGCAUGGCAAAUCCAGCACAUCAUUCCCUUCUUUAUCCUUCACCUUCUUUGGGGGCCAGGGCCCCUUAGGUUUUCCCUUAAACUUUCCUUGAUUCACUGCUGCGAUCUCUCCAGGAGCUGCUGGCUCGGCUUUACGCUUAUGCUUCCGACUGGAGUUACCUCCACCAGCGUCUUGGCUGACCGGUUUGCUCUUCCCGCUACGGAGUCGAUCCUCUUCUUCUCCAUUAGUGUACCGGGUGGCUAUCUCCAUCAUCUGAGCCAGAGUCAUAUCUCCAGUCUGACCGAAUUUCAAGACCAACUCCCUGUACUUGACGCCUUCCUUGAAGGCACAUACAACUUGAUGCUCUAAAACAUUCUCGACGGUGUGAUGUGAUGUCUACUACACAACCUUCUUCUUGUAGACGUUGUUGGGCCUGCAAGUGCACAGGUUUGUAGGACAGUAGCAAAUUUCCCUCAAGUGGAUGACCUAAGGUUUAUCAAUCUGUAGGAGGUGUAGGAUGAAGAUGGUCUCUCUCAAACAACCCUGCAACCAAAUAACAAAGAGUCUCUUGUGUCCCCAACACACCCAAUACAAUGGUAAAUUGUAUAGGUGCACUAGUUCGGCGAAGAGAUGGUGAUACAAGUGCAAUAUGGAUGGUAGAUAAAGGUAUUUGUAAUGUGAAAUAAUAAAAACAGAAAGGUAACAAGUGGUAAAAGUGAGCGUACACGGUAUUGCAAUGACAGGAAACAAGGCCUAGGGUUCAUACUUUCACUAGUGCAAGUUCUCUCAACAAUAAUAACAUAGAUAGAUCAUAUAACAAUCCCUCAACAUGCAACAAAGAGUCACUCCAAAGCAACUAAUAGCGGAGAACGAACGAAGAGAUUAUGGUAGGGUAUGAAACCACCUCAAAGUUAUUAUUUUGGAUCAAUCUAUUCAAGAGUUUGUACUAGAAUAACACCUUAAGACACAAAUCAACCAAAACCAUAAUGUCACCUAGAUACUCCAUUGUCACCUCAAGUAUCCGUGGGCAUGAUUAUACGAUAUGCAUCACACAAUCUCAGAUUCAUCUAUUCAACCAACACAAAGUACUUCAAAGAGUGUCCCAAAGUUUCUACCGGAGAGUCAAGAACGUGUGCCAACCCCUAUGCAUAGGUUCAUGGGUGGAACCCGCAAGUUGGUCACCAAAACAUACAUCAAGAGGCACAUGAUAUCCCAUUGUCACCACAGAUAAGCACGUCAAGACAUACAUCAAGUGUUCUCAUAAAAGACUCAAUCCGAUAAGAUAACUUCAAAGGGGAAAACUCAAUUCAUCACAAGAGAGUAGAGGGGGAGAAACAUCAUAAGAUCCUACUACGAUAGCAAAGCUCGGGAUACAUCAAGAUCGUGUCAUAGAGGGAACAUGAGAGAGAACAUGAGAGAGAGAGAGAGAGAGAGAGAUCAGACACAUAGCUACUUGUACAUACCCUCAGCCUCGAGGGUGAACUACUCCCUCCUCGUCAUGGAGAGCGCCAGGAUGAUGAAGAUGGCCACCGGUGAAAGAUUCCCCCUCCGGCAGGGUGUCGGGAAGGGCUCCCGAGAGGUUUUUGGUGUCUACAGAGGCUUGCGGUAGCGGAACUUCCAAUCUAGGUUAAUUCCCGAAAGUUUCAGUAUUUAUAGGAAUUAUUGGCGUUGGUUUCACGUCAGGGGGGUCUCCGGGCCGUCCACGAGACAGGGGGGCGCCCCCCCCUAGGGGCGUGCCCUCCUAUCUCGUGGGCAGCCUGGAGCUCUUCUGGCCCAACUCUGAUGCUCUAGUCUUCUUUUGGUCCAUAAAAAAUCCUCAAAAAUUGGCACAUCAUUUGGACUCCGUUUGAUAUUCCUUUUCUUCGAAAUACUGAAAUAGGCAAUAAAACAACAAUAUGGGUUGGGCCUCCGGUUAAUAGGUUAGUACCAAAAGUAAUAUAAAAGUGUAUAAUAAAGCCCAUAAUCAUUCAAAACAGAUAAUAUAAUAGCAUGGAACAAUCAAAAAUUAUUGAUACGUUGGAGACGUAUCAAGCAUCCCCAAGCAUAAUUCCUGCUCGUCCUCGAGUAGGUAAAUGAUAAAAACAGAAUUUUUGAUGUGGAAUGCUACCUAGCAUGAUUCUCAAAGUAUUUUUCUUUGUUGUGGCAUGAAUGUUCAGAUCCAAAUAAUACAAAAUAAAAUUUCAUUGACAUAAGAAAUAGUAAUACUUCAAGCAUACUAAGCAAAGUAAUCAUGUCUUCCCAAAAUAACAUGGCCAAAGAAAGUUAUCCCUACAAAAUCAUAUAGUCUGGCUAUGCUUCAUCUUCAUCACACAAAGUAUUUAAUCAUGCACAACCCCGAUGACGAGCCAAGCAAUUGUUUCAUACUUUAAUAAUCUCAAACUUUUUCAACUUUCACGCAAUACAUGAGCGUGAGCCAUGGACACAACGCUAUAUGUGGUAUAGAAAGGUGGUUGUGGAGAAGACAAAAAGGAAGAAGAUAGUCUCACAUCAACUAGGCUUAUCAACGGGAUAUGGAGAUGCCCAUUAAUAGAUAUCAAUGUGAGUGAGUAGGGAUUGCCAUGCAACGGAUGCACUAGAGCUAUAAAUAUAUGAAAGCUCAACAAAGGAAAACUAGUGGGGUGCAUCCAACUUGCUUGCUCACGAAGACCUAGGGCACUUUUGUGGAAGUCCAUCAUUGGAAUAUACAAGCCAAGUUCUAUAAUGAAACAUUCCCACUAGUAAAUGAAAGUGACAACAUAUGAGACUCUCUAUCAUGAAGAUCAUGGUGCUAUUUUGAAGCACAAGUGUGGAAAAAGAGAUAGUAGCAUUGUCCCUUCUCUCUUUUUCUCUCUUUUUUUUCAUUGGGUCUUUUCUCUUUUUUUUAUGGCCACCUUUUUUUAUAUUUCGUCCGGAGUCUCAUCCCGACUUAUGGGGGAAUCAUAGUCUCCAUCAUCCUUUCCUCACUGGGACAAUGCUCUAAUAAUGAUGAUCAUCACACUUUUAUUUUUCUUACAACUCAACAAUUACAACUCGAUACUUAGAACAAAAUAUGACUCUAUAUGAAUGCCUCCAGCGGUGUACCGAGAUAUGCAAUGAAUCAAGAGCGACAUGUAUGAAAAUUAUGAAGGUGGCCUUGCCACAAAUACAAUGUCAACUACAUGUUCAUGCAAAAAGCAAUAUGACAAAAGUGAUGUGUGUCAUAUGAACGGAACGGUGGAAAGUUGCAUGGCAAUAUAUCUCGGAAUGGCUAUGGAAAUGUCAUAAUAGGUAGGUAUGGCGGCUGUUUUGAGGAAGGAGUAUGGCGGGUGUAUGGUACCGGCGAAAGUUGCACGAUACAAGAGAGGCUAGCAAUAAUGGAGGGGUGAAAGAGUGUGUAUAAUCCAUGGACUCAACAUUAGUCAAAAGAACUCAUAUACUUGUUGUAAAAAUUUAGAAGUCAUCAAAAAAACCAAAGCACUACGCGCAUGCUCCUAGGGGGAUAGAUUGGUAGAAAAGACCAUCGCUCGUCCCCGACUGCCACUCAUAAGGAAGACAUUCAACAAAUAAAAUUGUUCUCCAAUUUCAUCACAAAGCGGUUCACCAUACGUGCAUGCUACGGGAAUCACAAACUUCAACACAAGCAUUCUUUAAAUUCAUAAUCACCCAACUAGCAUGACUUUAAUAUUACUACCUCCAUAUCUCAAAACAAUUAUCAAGCAUCAAAUUGAUCAUAGCAUCCGAUUCACUUUAUAUGAUAGUUUUCAUUCAAAUUACCAUGCCGUUUAAGAAUCUCAAAAUAAUAUAAGUGAAGCACUAGAGCAAACGACAAACUACUCCAACAAGAUAUAAGUGAAGAUCAAUGAGUAGCUAAAUAAUUAUGCAACUAUGUUAAGACUCUCUGUCAUUAAAGAAUUUCAGAUCUUGAUAUUUUAUUCAAGCAGCAAGCAAAACAAAAUAAAAUGACAUUGCAAGGAUAGCACAACUCAUGUGAAGAAGCAAAAACUUAAGCUCAACCGAUACUAACCGAUAAUUGUUGAAGAAGAAAGAUGGGAUGCCUACCGGGGCAUCCCCAAUCUUGGACUUUUGUGUCUCCUUAAUUCCCUUCAUGUCACGGUUUCUUUUCUUUUUAUCAAAAGCUUCAUUCACAACAAACUCAACAAGAACUCGUGAGAUCGGUUAGUAUAAACCAAAUCAAAACCUUAUCACUUUCUACUGUAACAACUCACUAAAAUUAUUAUUCAACAUUGAAUACUAAAUGCUUCUGCAUAUUUAAUACUCCUAUCCUCAAAUAGAAUCAUUAAACAAGCAAACAUAUGCAAACAAUGCAACCAUAACAGCAAUCUGUCAAAACAGUACAGUCUGUAAAGAAUGCAAGGGUAUCAAUACUUCCCUGACUCCAAAAAUUAUGAACUAAAAUUCCCACUGUAAUAAAUUUAUCAGAGCUUAAUAUGCAAAAAGAUUCAACGCUAGACCAUGCUCUGACUUUUCUAGGGAAUUUUUGCAACAGCGGUAAACUUUCUGUUUCCAAACAGCAACAUGUAUACUAGCAAAAUAAGCAUGGCAAAGGCUAUCCUUAACUUUUUUAUUGAAACUAAAGGUGCAAAACAUUAUUCUAACUAACAGCAAGCAAAUACUAAGAAAAGAAAAUGACGCUCCAAGCAAAACACAUAUCAUGUGGUGAAUAAAAAUAUAGCUCCAAGUAAAGUUACCGAUGAAUGAAGACAAAAGAGGGGAUGCCAUCCGGGGCGUCCCCAAGCUUAGGCUCUUUUCACUCCUUAUUCCAUAGUCCAUCGAAUCCUUACCCAAAACUUGAAAACUUCAACCACACAAAACUCAAACAAAACUCAUAAGCUCCGUUAGUAUAAGAAAAUAAAACCACCACUUAGGUACUGUAAUGAACUCAUUCUAAAUUCAUAUUGGUGUUAAAACUACUGUAUUCCAACUUCUCUAUGGUUCAUACCACUUAAUACUAGCCAUAGAUGCAUCAAAAUAAAGCUCGGGAUACAUCAAGAUCGUGCCAUAGAGGGAACACGAGAGAGAACACGAGAGAGAGAGAGAGAGAUCAGAGCUACUGGUACAUACCCUCAGCCCCGAGGGUGAACUACUCCCUCCUCGUCAUGGAGAGUGCCGGCAUGAUGAAGGUGGCCACCGGUGAAGGAUUCCCCCUCCGGCAGGGUGCCGGGAAAGGCUCCCGAGAGGUUUUUGGUGGCUACAGAGGCUUGCGGCGGCGGAACUUCCGAUCUAGGUUAAUUCCCAAAAGUUUCAGUAUUUAUAGGAAUUAUUGGCGUUGGUUUCACGUUAGGGGGGUCUCUAGGCCGUCCACGAGACAGGCCCCCCCUAGGGGCGCACCCUCCUAUCUCGUGGGCAGCCCGGAGCUCUUCUGACCCAACUCCGAUGCUUCUGGCCUUCUUUUGGUCCAUAAAAAAUCCUCAAAAAUUGGCACGUCAUUUGGACUCCGUUUGAUAUUCCUUUUCUUCGAAUACUGAAUCAGGCAAUAAAACAACAAUAUGGGAUGGGCCUCCGGUUAAUAGGUUAGUCCCAAAAGUAAUAUAAAAGUGUAUAAUAAAGCCCAUAAUCAUUCAAAACAGAUAAUAUAAUAGCAUGGAACAAUAAAAAUUAUAGAUACGUUGGAGACGUAUCAUGAUGCAAAGUGGACCAUCUCUCGAUGCACUCCCUCAAAGUCUCAUUCGGCUUCUGCACACAAUGCUGCAACUCGGGCAAACCUGCUGGUCGCUUGCACGUGCCCUCGAAAGUUCUAACGAACACUCGGGAUAGCUCUUCCCAACUGUGAAUACUACCUGGAGUCAACUGAGUUAGCCACGCUCGGGCUGACCCUUCCAACAUAAGGGAGAGAUGCUUCAUCGCUAUCUCGUCGUUGUCGCCCCCAAUCUGCACAGCCACUCGGUAAUCUUCAAGCCAAGUUUCCGGCUUGGAUUCACCGGUGAAAUUACUGACCCCGGACGCCAACCUGAAGUUGGGUGGAAUCACUGCUGCUCUGAUGGCUCUGCUAAAACACUCGGGACCACAAACAUGCACUCGACUGCCACUUGGACGGUCUCCGCCUAGGUCUUCUCUGUGCGCCCUAUUUCGGUCGACCAGGCCUUGAACGAGGAUAGACCUCGCGUCAAAGCCUGGUUCCCUUGGGUCGACUGAAGCUCUGUGCUCACCACUAUGAUGGCGCCUGUCAUCGUUCCGCCGAGGCACAUAUGACGUACUCCUCGGGGGAGGCAUGGGUCCUCAACGGUGAUUGUCACGGUCGAGUGGAUGAUCAUAUUGUCUACGCCCUUCAUGCCGUGGAGGUGAUCUGGGGCUGUGAGCCGACUGAACCGUGUCCGCUGCAACGGAUCUACUGUGAAUCAUGUUUCGCGAUUGAGAUACUGCUGUAUUCUGCUCUCCUGGCGCCCUGAGUAGGGCCCGGAUUUGCAUCAACCCUCUGCUAGCCUCUGACUGGGACGGUUGGAUCGACUCUGCUAUGCGGGCUGCGGCUGUGAGAUUCUGAAUCGGAGGGCGGUAUACCUUAGGUGGAGGCGGAAAGAGUUGUCGUCAACUGGACUCAUGGAUCCGCUCCUGAGCGCGCUCGUCGAGAUCCCGCUGGAGGUUAUCCAGUCGAGUGCACUCAGCCAGAUUAGCUAAGCGCACCUCCUCCAAGGCCCGAGCCUCGGGGGUUUCUCCUAUGAUGGGCGUGUGGAGUGCAUCCAUGUUGCGGCGACGAAGUUCUUCCCUCUGCUGAGAAGAGAGGGGCUCGGGUCGGUAUUCCUCGUGGGUGUGCGAUGGAUCGCCGCCUCCGUCUCCGCCGCCCUCGCAGUGAAAACCAGGUGGGCUGUGAGGCCCAUCAACCAUUAAGACUUCGGCCGCAGGAUCGCUGCUAUCGCAUUCGGAUGCGGUCUCUGCGGAGCCAGUCGACAGAUCGAACAGGCCGUGGAGAGUUUCGUCGGGCUCGAUCGCAGCGACUUGGUGGGUGGUUGAUUGCUGAGCCACCGCGUGUUUCACCCACCGCUGAAGCUGCGAUCGACCGGAUCGCUUGCGGCGGCGGACAGCGGGGGAGGAAAACGCCAUUGGAGCCGACUGGUAUUGCAUCGACGGCUGUCGAAUAAGAACGCCAUGAACGCACGCGCGGAAGUGCAUCGCUCCUCGGACGGGGAGCGGUUCAAUGUCCAGGGGAGCUUCUUGGAGCCACGCGGAGUCGUCGGCGACGAAAAUGAGCGCGCCGAGAUGGAUCUCGCGGUCUUCAGCCAAUCCGCCGCUGGAAACCAUGGUCAUGGUGAUCGAAAAAACUUGCAACUUCACCAAUAAGUUGCUAAGACGCCUGCCCCAAGGUGGGCGCCAACUAUCGUGGUUCUAAGCCUGACAGUAGAAAGGGGGGUGGGUAUGGAGAGGCAAGAUCUUAGCUAUGGUGAAGAUGUACACACGAGAUUUACGAGUUCAGGCCCUUCUCUAAGGAAGUAAUAGCCCUACGUCUCAGAGCCCGGAGGCGGUCGAUUGGAUUAUGUGUGUUGUAUUACAGAGAGUGCGAACCCUUGUGCCAGAGGAGGGGGUGGCUUAUAUAGAGUGCGCCAGGACCCCAGCCUGCCUCCCUUACAAGGGAACUAAUGUACAUAAAGUAAUGGGUGUUACUGGUAACGCCAGCAUUAAGUACUCUUAAUGCCCAUGCAGACUAAGGAGUAAAUAUCUGGACGUUGUGUCCUACCGACUCCUGGUAUUCGACGUGGUCGAGUGGUCUCCAUAUGGUCGAGUGAAGGUAGAGAAUUCCGGUCAAGUGAUUGCAUCGUCGAGUGGAUUCUUGGUCUUCUCGUUCUUCUGGGGUAGUGACCUUGGGUAGGGUGUGUAGGUCAGGCCUAUGACCCUACCCCAGGUCUAUAUCCUCAUCAACAGGAGACAUGGAUUUUUUUGUCGUGGUUCCGAUAGGUGGUGCUAUCUUACAUCCAUGUUGAUGGAGACUUCAACCCACGAAGGGUAACGGCUGCGCGAGUCCACGGAGGGUUCCACCCACGAAGGAUCCACGAAGAAGCAACCUUGUCUAUCCCACCAUGGCCAUCUCCCACGAAGGACUUGCCUCACUAGAGGUAGAUCUUCAUGAAGUAAGCGAUCUCUUUGCCCGUACAAACUCCUUGGUUCAACUCCACAAUCUUGUCGGAGGCUCCCAAGUGACACCUAGCCAAUCUAGGAGACACCACUCUCCAAGAAGAAACAAAUGGUGUGUUGAUGAUGAACUCCUUGCUCUUGUGCUUCAAAUGAUAGUCUCCCCAACACUCAACUCUCUCUCACAGGAUUUGGAUUUGGUAGAAAGAAGAUUUGACUGGAAAGCAACUUGGGGAAGGCUAGAGAUCAAGAUUCAUAUGGUAGGAAUGGAAUAUCUUGGCCUCAACGCAAGUGUAGGUGGUUCUCUCUUAAAAAAUGUAAGUUGGAAGUGUAGGUUCGUUCUGAUGGCUCUCUCCACGAAUGAAGAGGAGGUGGAGGGGUAUAUAUAGCCUCCACACAAAAUCUAACCGUUACACACAACUUGCCAAUCUCGGUGGGACCGAAUUGAGAAACUCGGUCGGACCGAUUCAGCAAAUCUAGUGACCGUUAGGAUUUUCGGUGGGACCGACAUGCAACUCGGUAGGACCGAUAUGGUUAGGGUUAGGGCAUAACGUAACCUCAGUGAGACCGAUUACACAUACUCGUUGGGACCGAUUUUGGUAAUAAGCUAACCAGAGAGUUGGUAAGGUAAACUCGGUGGGACCGAUUCGCUCAUCUCGGUUGGACUGAAAUGUUACGAAAGGAAAACAGAGAGUUUACAUUGCAAUCUCGAUGGGACCGAUCGCUCAUCUCGGUGGUACCGAAAUGUUAUGAAGGGAAACAGAGAGAUUACAAUCCCAUCUCGGUGAGACCAAGAUCCCUAUCGGUGAGACCGAUUUGCCUAGGGUUUGUGGCAGUUGCUAUGACAUCUGAACUCGGUGGCGCCGGAUGGAAAGAAUCGGUGGGGCCGAGUUUGACUUUUGUUUUAGGUCAUAUGUGGAUGUGAGAAAGUAGUUGAGGGCUUUGGAGCAUAUCACUAAGCAUUUUGAGCAAGAACCUCAUUAAGCAACACCUCAUCCCUCCUUGAUAGUAUUGGCUUUUCCUAUAGACUCAAUGUGAUCUUGGAUCACUAAAAUAGAAAAUGUAGAGUCUUGAGCUUUGAGCUUGAGCCAAUCCUUUUGUCCUUAGCAUUUUGAGGGGUCCACUUUUCUCAUCCAUGAUGUGCCAUUCAUUUAGCUUUCCUAAAAUACUUAUCUUGAAAUAGCAUUAGCUCAAUGAGCUAUAUGUUGUUAGGAAUUACCAAAACCACCUAGGGAUAGUUUCACUUUCAAUCUCCCCCUUUUUGGUAAUUGAUGACAACAUAUAGAUCAAAGCUUCGACAAAUGAUAAUAAGAUUGAAAAAACAUUGUCGCUUUGAGAAGUAUGUGAAAAGCAAGAGCUCCCCCUAAAUUUGAGAAUAGUUUAAGAUUUGCUUUGGACUGCAAAUGCACAAUAGUUAGGAUCAUGGGUUACUCUUCCAUGUCACAUACAUCUUGGUUCAGCGCUCAAAAUGAUAAUAAUUAAAUGCAUGCACUCAUCACCAAGCAAAGUGAAUGAUCAUAUAGAUAUAAAAGGAUAAUGUCAUCCAACAAGCAUUAAGGUAGCAUCGUAUAUGAUCAACCACAUGAUCAUCCAAGUAUCACAUAAAAGCAUAGAGUAUCUCAAACAAGCAAAUAACAAAUUUCAACCACCAAAACAAGAGAGAACAAAAAGCAAUACUCUCUCUCGAAGCCUAUGAUCUAUACAUUUUUCUCCCCCUUUGGCAACAAGUUACCAAAAAGUUCAUAGAAAAUGCAUAGUACUAAACGACUCUCAGGCUUGGUCUUCAGGUGGUGGUGUAGAUAAAACUCCAAGGAUGAAGGCAUCAGUUGAGGUUGAUGGAGCUGAUGGAGUGGCUACUGGAGCUAGUGGUACUGAAGCUGUUGUUGGUGCAGAUGAAGUUGCUCUGGUGUCUGUAACUAGCACUGCAGCAGAUCUCUAACUUCUGGGCACUCUGGCAAAUGCAUCAGUGGUAGACUUGCCCUUCUUCUCUUGCAUUUCAUCCUGAAGUUGCUCAACAACUGACUGUAUCUCAGUCACCUUCACAUCUAAAUCAUAGAACUUCUGCUCCAUGAUCCUCUCCAAGCUCUCCUGCUUUUGAGUCAGGGUGGCCAAGCCCUUCUCAAUCCUCAGAGUGGAGGCAAUCAAGUAGCCAAGCUGAUAUUGCUUGCUCUUCAGGAAAAUCUGAGAUGCCUCUUCAGCAGUUGGCAUCUUAGCAGCCUUCUCAGCCCUUGCCUUCUCCUUCUUCUCUUGUGCUUGCACAGAAGAUGGUUCAUUUUCAUCCAUCACCACUGUGUUGUCCUCAAAGUAUGGGUAGAUGGGCAUGUGUUCCUUGUCCAAGAGAUAUGUGCCAGUGCCCAUAUUGGAGUUGAUUAGCUCCUGGAUCUGUGGGGCAUACCCACAAUUUCUCUUUUGAUCAGCAGCUGUCCUCUUGAUAGUUUCCACAAUUAGGCUCAUGACUUUGAACUUUUGAGGCACAUCAAAUAUGUGAAGCAGGUUAAUUGCAUGGCCUUUGAUCAUCUUGUGAUCACCUGACUUUGGCAAUAGAGUGUGCCUGAGGAUCCAGUUGAUUGUUGGCAAACCUGACAGACGGUAAUGUACUGAUCCAAAUUUGUGUGUCUCAAGAGCAGCAUCUGGGAUCUCUCUGUACAUAUGUGCCAUGGAGUUGUGAUCCUUCUUCUUCUUGGCAUAGACAUCCAAGUCAUCCUCAUUUUACUUAGGAGCAUUGAUCAAUUUUGCCCAUUCUUCAACUGUUGAUUGGUACCUAGUACCUUCAGACAUCCAGACAAUCCUUCCAUCUGGGUAGAAAUGAGCUGUGGAGUAGAACUGCAUAAUAAGCUCAUCAUUCCACUUUGUGAGCUUCUGCCCUACAAAUUUCUCUACUCCACAAGACUUGAAACUAUCAUAAACUCCAGGAUAGUGUUCCUCAUUUUCCCUGAUGUACUUCCAGUCCACCCAUCAUAUAUCACAGACUAUAGGCUUCUUGUCAAGCAGCACUGUCUCAUAGAAGUCCUGUUGUUCCUUUGUAUGGAACCUGUAGUCCACAACAGUUCUUCUCCUGACUGCAUAGGGAUCAGUCAAUCUCCACUGUCUGAGUCAUGCAUCCUUCCUGAGCUUCAUGUCCUCAACUAUUGGAUGAGCAUCAUUAUGAUCUGGAAUUUUGGGCUUCAACUUCCUCAAGACAUGUGUCUCACCAUUUUCUUCUUCUUCUAUAGCAGCUUCAGGCACUGGGGCCUUGUUGUUCUCACCAACAGGAAUAUUCCUUGUAUUCCUCUUGGGUGCAGCUUUGGGCUUUGGUGUAGCUGUCUUGGGAGCUUCUUUGGGCUUUGAUGGAGCAACCCCUGAUCUUAUAGCAUCUCUCAUAAGCUUUUGAGCUUUAGGUGCUGGAGCAGCAACCUCUUCCUCUUCUUCUUCCAUCAUGGAGGGCUUUCCAACAACCCUAGCCAUGGUCUUCUUGACCCUUUCUUUCCUUUUCUUCCCUUCUGCAGCAGCCUCUUUGGGUUCAGAUUCCAAAGUUACUUGAGUAGAGGCUCUGGCUUUAGACAUGGGAAUUCUUCUUGCAGGUGCUUUGGUCCUCAUACCAGGCUUAGUGGUAGCAGUUGUGCCAUAUUCCUUCUUCAACACCUUCUUCUUGGAGGUGGCCUCAUCCUCAACAGCCACAUAGUCUUCAUCCUCAGAAUCUGAGGUUCUCUUCUUUCUGGCCAUGGUGGCUACCUUAGGCAAGUUGCUGGGUGUGCUCCUGCUACCAUCAUAGCUGCUAGAGGGACUAGUGCCCUCACUCAUGUGAACUUGCUCCUCAGACUUGUUCUGACUGUCAUGAUGAUCUGACAUGAUGCAAACACUGACAGCAGACCCUGUGAAUAGAUACAGAUGAGGUAGAGUAGAUGAGCACCACAAAGUACAGAGGUUUUUGCAAACAAUGAGUCAAAAACUUAGUUUUAGUUUUCCACAGAAAGCAUUUCGGAUCUACCGAUUUGAAAACUCGGUGAUACCAAAGCAGCUUUCGGAACCUAAACUAGUGAACUCGGUCAGACCGAGUCACAGUUUGGUGGCACCGAGACUGCUAGGGUUUCACAAAGUCCAGAUCUCGGUCACACUAAUUUGCAAUUCUCGGUCAGACCGAGAAUCGCAUGUGCAAUGGCCUUAGCCAAAUCGGUGGAACCGAUUUCUACAACUCGGUUGGUCCGAGAUGAUUUCGGUGGAAACCUAACCCUAAAUUUUCAAUCCACAACUAAACUAUGGAGUGAUUUCGCUGGAUAGAAUGAUCUCAAUCGUGGCAAGAUACAUGGCAAAACAAUGUGCUAGGAAUCGGAGUGAGAUUAGCACAAGGAUCAAGUCCAUACCCUAAGUGCGGUGACGGACCUGCUACGGCGGCAACGACGGAGUCGAUUCCCGUUGACGGCGGCGGAGACCAGCGGUGGGAGGCAGCUGGCAACGAGGAGGACUAUUCGGAGACCCAGGGAGGCAGAGCAGGCUGAGUGCGGGCAAAGGGGUUCGGAGAAAUUUCCAAAUUUUGGCCCGAGGAUAUAUAUAGCCUGACCCUGUCGGUGUGACCAAGUGGAACAACUCUGUGGCACCGAGAUGCAUAAUUGCAAGCAGUUACUGCAACUCAGUGUGACCGAAAAGUUCAAAUCGGUUGCACCAAGAUUGAAAACCUAGAUCGACUUAGUGAUCUCGGUAUGACCGAAAUGGAUGAAACGGUCAGACCGAAACACACAAAGAAGUUUUGGAAGUUUAAGUCUAUGACGAAUCAGGGACUCCGAGUGCUCCUCACACAGAGUGGUUCGAAUCUGACUUGAUCAAACUUUGUGAUGUAGCAUGAAUAGAGUUUGAGACAAGAAAAGCAUAGAUAGCUAGGGAGGAUUCUUAGGCAUUCUUGUCCAUCCACUUGACAAAAGAAAAGAAACCAAACAAUCAAAACAACAAGUGGAUGUCCUUGAAUGAGUAAAAUAUGCAAAUGACAUGCUUACACAAUAAAAUGACAAAUGAAAUAUGUGGCAAAGCAUGCACAACCAUUCUAGCAUCUAUCAAGCAACUGGCGAUGACUAGGUCAUCUAUAUAUGAGUAUAUUGACUUAGGAGUCAAAUGAGAACAUUUGAUCAUAGGUCAUACACAUCGUUUAAGCUCAAGUAGGGUUGCCACUUUUACAUAAUGCAUUGUUGUGUUCACACCAUUAGAGUUGCUUUAGCUCAAUUCUUAGAGUAAAGCUCCCCCUAGAUGUGAGAUCCCCCCUUAGGAGGGAUGAACUAAUCUUGGGUUUUGUCGAUGAUGACUUUAUGUAGGUGUUGAAGAUGUGGAUGCUCAAUGUUGAUGUAGAUCAUUUGGAGCAAUCCUUUGGAGUGAGUUGCACUUUCAAUACCUACACGGGUUAGUCCCACAAGGAACAAACAAGGAUAUCCAUAGACAUAAAGUGAUGCACACACAAGAUGAUGUCUAUGAAAGCAUUAUGUUACCUUGUCCCUUGUCUUACCAACAAGAGGUUUUGUGACUCCUUGAACUAGUGCAAGAUGUGGAAGUUGAUUGCACUUGUCCUUGCCAAAAUGAUAAGAGUGAAGUAUGUUGGCGGAGUCACCCUCAAGAACUCUCUAGUUCUUCUUCUUAGGGAUCCACACCAUCUUGAUGGGAAUCCUUGGAGUUGUAGUCAUACUUGAUGAAGUAGAACUUGAUGUAGUCUUGGGAACCCACUUGACCAAGGCCUUAGGAGCUUCUUCAAAUGCAUCAAUCUCCUCUUGAAUCUUGUCCUUGCCUUUUUGCUUGUGGUCUUGUGGUGGAAGAUCAUCUUGAGCUUGUGUCCCUUUGAAAGAAGUAGGAUCAUACUUCUCUUGUUGAGGAACAAACUUCAUGUUCGGGUAUUGAUCUUCUUCCCAUUCAACUCCAUUGGCAUUGAACUUCCAUUCAAAACCAACACCUUGGUUCUUCCGGUGCCUUCCUUGCUUGCAUACAAUUUCCUCAAAUUGCUUACUACCGGCAAGGAUCUUGUAAACACCUUUCUCUAUAAUUCCCUUCAAUAAGCUAUUUUCUUGCUCAAGUGUAACUUGGCUAAGAGAAUCAUUAGUGGAAUCAAGAGAACUACUAGAAGGAACAACAUUGGAUUUAGCAUGAUUAUUGUUACUACUAGAGGAAGAAUCCUUCUUGUUUUUGUUACUAGACUUGACUUGAGGCAUGUAAGUAUAUAGGAGUAAACGCUUGGCAAUGUAAGAAGAACUUUUCUUGCGAAGAUCAUCAUUGAUUGCCUUUAAGAACUCAUGCUCUUGCUCAAGGUUGAGCUUUUCAAAGCGUAACUUCUCAUGAGACCUUAAAAGUUCUCGACGAUCUCCUAAGAUAGUUUCAUGAGCUAACUUAAGAGUGUUUAUGUCGGAGUAAUGGGCCAUGGGUAGUGAGGGAGUCCUGGAUAAGGGGGUAUCGGGACAGCCGGACUGUAUUCAUCGCCCGGACUAUAGAAGCGUCAAGAUACAAGACUCAAGACUUCGGCUCGUGUCCGGAUGGGACUCUCCUUUGCUUGGAAGACAAUCUUGGCGAUCCGGAUAUUAUGUUUCCUUCCUUGUAAACCGACUCCAUGUAAACCCUAGGUCUCCGGUGUCUAUAUAAACCGGAGAGCAUGGUCCUUAGAAGGCCGAUCACAAUUACAAUCAUACCAUCAUAGGCUAGCUCUUAGGGUUUAGCCUCUACGAUCUCAUGGUAGAUCUACUCUUGUGUUCCACAUAUCUUCAAUAGUAAUCAAGCAGGAAGUAGGGUUUUACCUCCAUCGAGAGGGCCCGAACCCGGGUAAACAUUGUGUCCCUUGCUUCUUGUUACCAUCAGCCUAAGACACACAGAUCGGGACCCCCUACCCGAGAUCCGCCAGUUUUGACACCGACAUUAGUGCUUUCAUUGAGAGUUCCUCUGUGUCGUCGCUUCAAGCCUUGAUGGCGUCUUCAAUCGUCAACAACACGGUCCAGGGUGAGACUUUUCUCCUCGGACAGAUCUUUGUGUUUGGUGGCUUCGCACUGCGGGCCAAUUCGCUUGGCCAGUUGGAGCAUAUCGACAGCUUCGCCCCUGGCCACCAGAUCAGGUUCGGAAACUUGAACUACACGACAGAUAUCCGCGGAGACUUGAUCUUCGAUGGGUUCGAGCCUGCGCCAGGAGCGCCGGACGUCCACGACGAGCACGGCCUAGACCUGCUGUCGGACAGUGCCUGGGAUAUCAUCCCCGAAGCAGCCUUGGAUCUAAAUCCACGACAGGUUGCGUUGCCUAUGGACGGAGGGCUGGACCCCGCUCCGCAGGCCGCACACAUAUCGGCGGUGGAGCCGAACACGGGUCCCACCUCUGUGGAGGCCUGUAACCCCGGACCCCCGGACUCAUAUCCGGCUGUUGGUCCUGUUCCGCUUACUCUCGAGCCAGCCGAGCCAGGUUGGGCUCCGUUAAUGGAGUUUACCGCUGUGGACAUCUUUCAGCACUCGCCCUUUGGCGACAUGCUGAACUCGAAGUCUCUCUCUUUGUCAGGAGACUCUGGGCCGAACUAUGUCCGGACCGAGUGGGAAGCAGGCGACGAAGGAAUUUGGCGCCCACCCACCACCCACUUCAUUGCCACGAUCGAAGAAUUAACCGACGUGCUUGACUCCGAAGACAUUGACGGUAUGGACGACGAUGCAGGAGAGGCUCCAGGAUCCCUGGAGCGCGGGACUACUACCUUGUCACACAAUAUAUACAUGGUAGAUACGCCCAAUAAGGACGGCAGCCCGGACGAUAAAACACCCGGGCAAAAGCCAAAGAGGCGGCGUAGAUGCCGCUCAAAGUCCAACAAUGGCAAAAAUAGCGACAAGAGCACAAGAAGGGUUGAUAUACCCGCAAACUCCGAAAGCAAUAAUGACGACAUGGACCCAGCGAUGGAGCAGGACGAGCCAGGUCACGCCGAAUCAAGUUCGGAGCAAAUACCCGAUCACAAUGAUCCGGAGGGGUGAGCUCAGGAUGCUGCCCCAGAAUAGGAAGACAGUCCGGACGACGAUGCAUUUAUCAUCCCGGACGAACAAGUGGAACGAGACAACCUCCACAGAAAGCUUAUGGCUACCGCAAGAAGUCUAGAAAAGCAGAAGCAACGGCUCAUGGCCGCACAGGAAAAGCUAAGUCGCAAAUGGAAUAAGGUGCUAGACACUGAAGAAAGAUAUGGCAAUGACCGCCAUACGAAAAGCUAUCCGAAGCGCAAGCUACUGCCAGAAUUCGACGACACGGCCGUUCCACCAAAAGAAAAUUCGACCAAGAAACCAGACGUGCCGCCUCACAACCAUUACAGAGCGGUCGCGGACACUGCACACGAUCCACGCGAGCAUACGGAUAAAAAGACCGGUGCAGCCAGGUCCAUAUAUGGAUCUAGAAGACACACCCCAGUGCAGGACUAUGGUCACCCAAACGCUCAUAAAAGCCAGAUACCAGUUCGGAAUCAACCCCGGACACAACAAUAGCCGACUACAUGCCACAAUGCGUCCAGAUACAGAGGGGCUGCUCACCCCCUGUGCUUCACCGAAGAAGUACUGGACCAUGAAUUUCCAAAAGGCUUUAAACUUGUGAACAUAGAAGCAUACAAUGGCACGAUUUUAUCUUGCAUAUUCACAUGGCUCGUGGGGAUGACCUCUACGCCAUCAAAUACCUUCCCCUCAAGUUUAAGGGACCAGCUCGACACUGGUUAAAAAGCCUCCCCGAAAACUCAAUUGGGAGUUGGGAGGAACUCGAAGACGCUUUUAGGGCCAAUUUUCAAGGGACUUAUGUCCGGCCUACGGAUGCAGACAAUCUAAGUCACAUAAUCCAACAGCCCAGAGAGUCCGCCCGCAAGCUUUGGAACAGAUUCCUCACUAAGAAGAAUCAAAUUGUCGACUGUCCGGACGCUGAAGCCUUAGCGGCUUUCAAACACAGCAUCCAUGACGAAUGGCUCGCCCGACACCUCGGCCAAGAAAAGCCGAGGACAAUGGCAGCCUUAACAAGCCUUAUGACCCGCUUUUGCGCGGGUCAGGAUAGCUGGUUGGCCCGUAAAGGCACCAGCGACCCCAGCACAUCCGAACUAAGGGAUGGCAAUGGGAAGCCACGGCGUAAUAAAAACAAACACCAAAACAAGGAAGAGAGCCCGGACAACACGACGAUCAACACUGGAUUCAGGGGCUCUCGACCUGAUCAGCAAAAGAAGCCAUUCAAAGGCAGUAGAGAUGGACCAUCCGGUCUGAACAGAGUCCUGGAUAGACUAUGCCAAAUUCAUGGCACCCGGAGAAACCUGUGAACCACACCCAUAGAGAGUGCUGGGUCUUCAAGCAGGUCGGCAAAUUAAAUGCUGAAUACAAGGGGAGGGGCACACCAAGAGAAGACGAGGAUGAACCUCACCAGCCGAACACUGGGGUACAAAAAAAAUUCCCGCCAGAGGUUAAAACAGUAAACAUGAUCCACACGACUCACACAUCCACGAGAGGGCAUGAACGCGCGCCCAUAGAAGUGCAUGCUGUAGAGCCCGUCGUACCCACAUCUCACUACUGGAAGUCUCGUCCGAUCUCUUUCGAUCACAUGGACGGCCAAACUACAAUUUGGCGAGGAGGAUCACAGGCCUUGGUGCUUGACCCAAUAAUCGACGGAUACCGUCUCACCCGUGUCCUCAUGUACGGCGGUAGUGGUCUCAAUUUAAUAUAUGAGGACACUGUCCAGAAUUAAACAAAGCAACACCACCUUUGAAGAGGUGAUACCAGGUGUUGUAGCCUGCGCCAGGGGCUCCGUCGUGCUGGAAGUAACAAUCGGCUCCCCAGGCAACUCCAGAAGCGAUGAGCUGCUCCUCACUGUCACACCCUUUCAAAGCAGCUAUCAUGCAUUGCUAGGAAGAACGGCCUUCGCCCGCUUCAACGCAUUGCGCACUAUGGCCACCUUACACUCAAGAUGCCCGGUCCCCGUGGCGUCAUCACCGUUAGCGGAAUCAUAAAGCGCCCUUCAUGCGCAGAGGAAUACGCGACGGCCCUAACGGCCGGACUAUAAGCGGCCUCCAGUUUUAGAAAACAUGAUUGGUCAUUACGACCACAUACACGGUUAGACGAGUCCGGUAGCCCGGAUAAAUUCAAACAGGGCACUGUAUAUGUAAUCCCAUAAGGGACACCAGGGGCUGUCUAUAUUUAAUACAGCCCCACGCUUGGCUCAACCUUAUUGGCAGGCCAACAGCUUACACUCUUAUUAUUGAUUGCAUACUUACGUUGCACCCUCCUACGAGUUUUUCUUUUUUACAGACAAUGUUCGCGCGAUACCCUUCCAGGAUACAGCACAACAGAGAUAAAGGCGCAGACGUGCAGCAGGGCCCCGUGCAACAGGUUUCUUUUUAGAUUAAGCCCCUGUGUAAACCUUUUCUACUGCCUCUUGUUGUUUAACCAUCCCAUGGGUUCUAUACCCACAGAGGAUACUGCCGUUUUUGGCAUUUGGCCAUGGCAGACUAAAUUGCACGUACCUAGAAAUAAAGGGCUUAAAACAGGCUCUUGUCAGCCUAUCUUCUUUUACAAAAGACCGAAUACCCUUGGGAGUGUUCGGCGUCACGAGUUUGGCCGUAUAUGCAUCAGCUCCGAAUCAUGUCUUUGGUCAAAAUGUUGGGUUUAGCAGGCUCCUGGGUUUGCCGCCUUACGUUCCGCUAUCAUCCGGCUAAGGCAGGCCAAAGGAGAACUACUGCGAUUGUGCCCUGGUUAUUCCGGAUGAGCGCCUCAGUAGAGAAAGCCGAAAACUGACCGUCAUGAUACAGCGAGAGACUGUUCAACCACUCAAAGACUCACCGGAAUCCCUAAAGAUUCCUCCGCCUUAACGAAGGGUCGUUUCCCGGCCAUGUACACACGCGCCCGUAUUCGGAUGCACGUGGAGGUACUAGAGGCUACAUAGUAGCCCCACCAUUAGACUCCCAUGGAUAAGCGAAAGUGUUACAGCUAUAUAGUCCGGUUGCCUAGUUCGGCGUGCGAUCACCUCCUUAACGGACCAAGACGUUGGAUCAAGUGUUAUUAUGCAUAUUUUUUUGCCAACACCCCCGCAUUGUCCGCGAGGGGGCUGAAGCCAACGACUGCUAUCUUUCAGACUACUUAUACAUAUAAGAAUAGCCGCAAAGGGAGGACAAUCAUACUUCCGAGCAAAAGUAUAAACAUAGCCUCAUAAUUAAACUAAACAUUGUUUUCUACAAUGAUUCGACUUAUCACUCGAAUAAAACACUCUUCGAGCACUGCACCACUAUCAGGCGGGCACCUUUCGUGACUUGCGCCAAGUAGUGCUCGUCCGGAUGUUGGCCUCCCGCCGGAUCCUGGAUUGUUAUUACAGUGGCCUCCAUAUCCGUCCAGUAGGCUUUAACGCGGGCUAGAGCCAUCCGUGCACCCUCUAUGCACGCCGACCUUCUCAGGGCGUCAAUCCGGGACAUGGCUCCAAGGAAUUGUUGCACCAAACCAAAGUAGUUGUCUGGCUUAGGCCCCUUUGGCCAAAGAUGGUCUAUUACAGACCGCAUUGCAAGUCCGAACAGCCUGUGGAGCUCCGCCAUAGCAGCCACCUUCUCAUUCACUGGCAGCGGGCACGUGGGAGCAUUAAACUGCAACCAGAAAAGCUUCUCCACUUCUUCAUCGCCUUGAACCUCGAAGAACUUGACAGCGUCAGCUGUACUAUUCACCAAGUCCGCAUAUGCGUCCGCAGGACUCAUGCGACCCACCAGGGGAGCAUACUUUGGAUCCAAGAACUUCGUACAAAGUGAGUACGAGCCCCUAGCCACGAUUUUGUCAGCUUGUUGGAGCUCCUCCCGCAUACUCCUGAUCUCGGUCCACAUCUCCUUGGCGGCAUUACGUGCCUUGUCCAGCUCGGCCGAACUAGCCUUAUUCUCCUUUUCAAGUAGUGUGUACCGGUCGGCGGCAUUUUUUAACUCUUCGGCCAUUUCAGCUAUCUUUUCCUCGCUUCGGCGACGAGCAGCCUGUUUAGCUCUCAACUCUUCGGCCGCCUUUAGGGCAGCCGCAUUGCUAGCCCGAGCUUGUUCCUUGGCUUGAGCAAGUUCCUCCCUCAGCGCCUCCACGGCAGCAGCACCAUCUGCAGUGCACACAUAUUGCAUUAAUAUUAUGCCGCUUUGGCAUUUUCCUACACAUUAUACUAAAAACCAUGCACAUACCUUGGGACUCCUCAAGCUGUUUAUUCACCAGCGUGAUAUCGGCAUCGAUGGAUCCGAUUUGCCUCCUUAGCUCGGCAACUUCAACAGACUGGUCGGCUGCCGGACCCUUGUAUACCUGCGCACAUGUAUGGCGCAGCCAUUAGUAUAUGAUCCCCCGUUUGCCGCCUAUGGCGGGCAACCAGAGUCUCAGGGGCUACUAUCUAUAGGAAGCACACCUAGCGCGUGCUUCAUAACCACAAAGUUGUGCAUUUUUCACUACAUACCUCAAAGCCUUUGAGCAGGUUUGUAAAUGCCUCAUUCAAGCCGCUGGUAGCAGAUGAAAUCUUCUUGAGCACCAUGCUCAUUAAAGAGCGGUGCUCCUCCGAGAGCGCGGUUCGCUCGAGACGACCCGUCAGUACGUCCGACUGGACACUAAACUGCACCGGACCGUUCUCAUCGCCCCCCAUGGGAGCCAAAUGCUCCGGGCUCAGGGCGGCUGACAUACUAGCCUCCGGCUUCGGUAUAUCCGGACUCCUUUGUGAUGACACCUCCGUGUCGCCCGCCUCAUGAGGCGGAGAGUUGGGUGGGGUUUCACUCUCCAUCAACUCCGGACGAAGGUCCCCCGAAGACGAACUCUGUUGAGAAGAGCUGCUCGCCGGACUACAAAAAACGAAGUCCUGAUUAUGGAUCUCUGAGUAACAUCUCACCUUCGAAUUAUUGAAUGACUUACGGCUCGUUGGAGGGCUGGCCCGUUGGCGGGCAUGACGUGGUGAGGGCGCCUAUCGCGGCAGAGCCCCUUGGUGAUGUUUUCUUCCCUUGCUUGGGCGUCUCCGCCUCCAAAUCUUCGGAGGUGGCCCUCUUCUUCCCGCGUGGGGAGGAGGCUUUGACCUUCCCUUCCCGACUAUCCUCCAUAGGAGGGUUAGCGAUUUUCCCGGUCUGGAUGCGCAGCGCGUGAAGUUCGGCUUCACUGCCCUUUCCUUCGUCCAUCUCUGAAGGGAUUUUACUGAGUGCCCGGUCCAACAUCUUUGCAAUAGUGGGACUAGGCGAGCCUUCAGGAAGUGGUGCCGGACACCUGAUUCCAUUCGCCUUGUCAAGCCAUUCCUGGCCGCGGAGGGAGUGUUAGAAUAAAAAUCAUGAUAAAUAUAAAUGAAGUGUCCGGCUUUAAGGUUACUUACUUGGGCAUCUAGGCGAUUGCAGCUUAGGCCCGCAUCCUUGGUGGUGUCUGGACACUUUGCUUGUGGUCCGAAGAAUAAUUUACACAUUCCUUCGAGCGUCAGGCCGAAGAAGUGCUUAAUAGUCCGCGGACCCUCCGGAUUAAACUCCCACAUGCGGAGAGGCCGAUGUUUGCACGACAACGUCCGCCGGACUAGCAUUACUUGAAUUAUGCUGACAAGAUUUAUGUCCCUCCUAAGGAGCUUCAGGAUGCGGUUCUGUAGUUUUGGCACAUCACCAGCAGGCCCAUAAUUCCGUCCCACAUCGGUCCAAGACGCCAGCUGUGAUGGGGGCCCUGAGCGGAACUCGGGAGCAGCUACCCACUUUGUGCCUCUGGGAGCAGUGACAUAGAACCAUAUCCGUUGCCAUACGUCAGAUACUUCCGGAAAAGAACCCUCUGGCCAUGGGGCAUCAGCAUUCCUGCUUAUUAUGGCACCUCCGCACUCCGCGUGUCGCCCCUCGAUCAUCUUCGGCUUCAUAUUGAAGGUCUUUAACCACAAGCUGAAGUGUGGGUUGACGUGGAUAAAAGCCUCGCACACAAUAAUGAAAGAUGAGAUAUGGAGGAUGGCGUCUGGAGCCAGAUCAUGGAAAUCCAAGCCAUAGUAGAACAUAAGCCCCCUCACAAAGGGGUCGAGGGCGAGGCCUAGACCUCGGAGGAAUUGAGGAGUAAACACGACGCUCUCAUUGGGCUCCGGCAUGGGGAUGACUUGCCCCGGAGCAGGAAGCCUGUGCUGGAUAUCGGCAGUUAGGUAUCCAACCUCCCUAAGCUUCUCAAUAUCCUCCUCCUGAAUCGAGGAGGCCACCCACCGGCCUGCUGCGUCGGAUCCGGACAUACUGGAGGAUCUGGGGUGUUGGAGCUAAGGCUUUGGGCGAUGGAGCUCGAGGUAUGAGAGGGAGCAGGAGAGGUGGAGACGAGGCGUAGGCCUCGGCCCCUUUAUAAAAGGGAUGAAUGCCAAGAGUCCUUAGUGUGACCGCUUGAGACUUAUCUAAAAGGAAACACAGAAUUAUACCAACAGUCGCGGUAGGGUCGCAUAUGCCCAUAUUGAUGAAAGAUCCCGCAUUAAGAGGGACACGAUCUCUGCUUUGGUGGGACGUGCCGAUAAAACCGCCUCGCAACCCGACUCGAGGUGGAGCAGGAAACGAUGGUUCGUGUUGGACCAGUCACGAUGCAAGGGCACGACGUAUGAAGAUUGCCAGCAGAACAGAUUUAUGCUAAGGGUGUGUGAAGAUCAUCUUGCAGAUCCGGACACAACCUACGUGUUCGAUAAUCACCUUGGAGUAUUUAGAGGAGGAACCCACCUUGCAAUGUCGAAGACAAGACUGCAUGCCGGACUCAUCGUCAUUGAAGCCUGGUUCAGGGGCUACUGAGGGAGUCCUGGAUAAGGGGGUACCCGGACAGCCGGACUGUAUUCAUCGUCCGGACUAUAGAAGCGUCAAGAUACAAGACUCAAGACUUUGGCUCGUGUCCAGAUGAGACUCUCCUUUGCGUGGAAGACAAGCUUGGCGAUCCGGAUAUUAUGUUUCCUUCCUUGUAAACCGACUCCAUGUAAACCCUAGCUCUCCAGUGUCUAUAUAAACCGGAGAACAUGGUCCUUAGAAGUCCGAUCACAAUUACAAUCAUACCAUCAUAGGCUAGCUCUUAGGGUUUAGCCUCUAUGAUCUGGUGGUAGAUCUACUCUUGUAUUCCACAUAUCUUCAAUAUUAAUCAAGCAGGAAGUAGGGUUUUAUCUCCAUCGAGAGGGACCGAACCUGGGUAAACAUUGUGUCCCUUGCUUCCUGUUACCAUCAGCCUAAGACGCACAGACCGGGACCCCCUACCUGAGAUCCGCCGGUUUUGACACCGACAGGUAGACUCACCUAGGUCCUAGUACUUAUCAAGACUUUGGGCCGGCUCCGCCUGGCUGGGCCCCAAGAUGAAGCUCCGCCCUCUGGGGGCCGGCUGGCUAGACGGCCGGCUACCGGAGGGCGGCCAACCCCAGCCUACGGCACUGCAUGUGGCCGGCUCCAGCCAGCCGGCCUCUAGAGAGGGCGGCAUUGAGCAGGCGGCCACCUCGCGGCCUCGGAGCAACCGGGCCCCCAUUGAGAGUACAAGUUAGAGCAUAGCUACAGUAAAGCACGUCGCCCCCGACGCCCGGGACAGGCAUGGCUACAGUGCUCCGUACAGGCAGAGAUCUCCGCACGACGGGUCACUGUACCAUGUCUCCCCUGACGUCGCUCCGAGAAGGCGGAGUCCUAUUCCCCACGACGGCCUGUCGGUACGGCCUGCCGGCGGUGGGCCCUAUCGCGGAGAGACUCCGUAGAAGAUGGCGGAAGCCCAAUCAGUCCGACUCGGGAAUGGCCGGCCUCCAGCAGACUACCGUCCCUUGCCCCGAGGCAAGCAUGCCAUUAAGCUGAUGAGACCAGGUGUGGCUACAGUGAUCUCCCACCAGGCGGCGGGACUGUAGCCAUGCUGAAGAUGACCAAGCCCUCGUCAUCAACAGCACGGCUACAGUAAGAAGCCACCAACCAGUCGGCAGGGCCCACCAGGCGGCGGGCCCCAACGGUCGGCGGAGAAGCCGGAGGCUGGAGACACUGACAGUUGGGCCCAGCACCCGGACGGAUUACCAUUGUACCCCUGAGGCAUAGGCCUAUAUAAACCCCCAGGGCACCCAUGCAAAGGGUUUGAACUCUGAUAGAACUAGCCAGUUACCUAGAGCACGGAAGAGCUAGCCUUGCCUUCUCCUACCUCUAGACACAGCUCAAGGAGCAACUUGUAUCACUAGUGCCAUAGUGAUCAUGCGGAGACCCCACAGAGCAGGAGUAGGGGUAUUAUCUCCAUGGAGAGCCCCCAACCUGGGUAAAGUUCACCGGCCUAUGUGUCUACGCCUUAUCCCGCUUCCAGGCACCGGCGGCGUUCUACUCGCUCCCACCAUGAUAAGCCAUCCGUUGGCAUAUGUCGCACUCAAGCCCCGACAUUUGGCGCCCACCAUGGGGCGAGGUGCACCGUCUUCCGGAGAUCUGCUCUGGACGGGAACCCUGUUCCUUCCUGGCGAGCAAAGCCAGCCCAGCACGCUUGACGGCGUCAGCCCCGACGCACUGCAUGGCGCGGAGAUCGCCUGCGCGGCGAGCUGCCUCGCCGACCUCGUCGGCGAGAUCGAUCUCUCCGACGAGCCGGCCUCCGACACGUGCACUAGCUGCCGUGAGAGCCGCCUCGUAAGCCUCCUCGACCAGCUCCAUGUCACCAGUGACCCUGCUGUGGACCUGGAGUCCGUUGGCUCCACCGAUCCGAUGAUCGUCGACUCCAACACGGCGUCGUUCGACGCGUUCCCCACCAAUGUGGUGGUCUACGACGAGCCGCCUCCUCACGAGCACAGCAGUGGAAGCACCUUCACGGAGGUGCUCGUCAUCAACAACGGAGAGCACUCGGACGAGCAUGCUCAAGACCCCCUCGACACGACUCUGCACGACCUAACGGCGCCCAUUCCUGAGGGCGCGGAUGCUGAGGUGCUGGAGGCACGCCGCAUCCAGCUUCUUGAGAGCGCUGGCCGCCUGGCCAGCAUGCGUCGUCUCUCAGACGCCUACCGCGCGAGAUGGAUCGGGCCGUUGGCGGCACGCCGGCUCCUGAGGGGCCCAGCCACCUCGGCACGGUUCGGCAACGUGGCGCGACCGUCGCCAGUAUGUUCGGGGCAGAGCGCCCCAUCUAUGCCACACCUGCAGAGAACAUGUGGGACGCCCAGGCGGUGAUGGAUGAGCUGGACAAAUACGAUGGCGAUGAGUGCCGCCACAUGACAGAGUAAGUCCAGCAGCUCCUAGACGCGGCCGCCGUGCAGCACGAGGCCAGCUGCCGCACUGAAGUUCCAGCCCGACGAAACAACGAGCCGACCCCACGCCAAGAUCAUGGGGUGACAUCCUGGACGCCGACUGGUGGCGCCCGGGGAGGAAAAGGCAAGAAGCCGGCUACCAGCCGCAGUCGGACGCGCCUCUCCAUCGAGCGAGACGAGGACAGCCGCCCACAUGAGAUGGAGCGGCGAGGCGACCAGCCGCCUCCUCCGCCUCGUGGAGCGAGGCACCCCACUCCGCCUCCUGUCACACACCCGACACUCGGAGACCGCCUUGGCCGCCGAGAGGGAGUCGGAGAGAAUGACGCUCGCCAUCGGAUCGAUCGCCUCAACCGAUCCCUGGCGCUAGAAGAAGAAGACGCCCUGGGCCCGCCCUACUUUGGCCCCCGAAUUCGAGAUGAGCCCUUCCCCAAAGGGUACACUCUCCCGCGAGACACGCCCAAAUACACCGGCUCCGUGAAGCCGGAGGACUGGCUGGUCGAUUACUUCACGUCUGUUAGUAUAGCGAACGACAACAGGCACGUUGCCGUAAAGUACGUCCCGCUCAUGCUUCAGGGCACUGCCUGGAUGUGGAUCCACAGCCUGAAGCCCCGCAGCAUCAACAGCUGGGUGGAUUUCAUUGAGGCCUUCAUCCGCAACUUCACCAUCACGUACAAACGGCCGCCCAAGCCCCGGCAUCUCUCCUUGUGCGUCCAAGGGCCCAGCGAAUCGACUCGUGACUACCUCACGCGCUGGGCGAGCUGCGCAACUCCUGCGAGGGCGUGCACGAGGUGCAGGCCAUCGAGUACUUCACCGCCGGGUGCCGAGAAGGCACCCUCCUCAAGUACCGGCUUCUCUCCGACGAGCCUGCGACUCUCGACGAAUUGUUAAUCAUCACCGACAAGCACUCCACGGCCGACUCCUCCAUGAAGGCGGAGAUCUUAGUCGAUCUAUCCAGCAAGGUAGCACCUCAGGCUCCUCGGACUCCGGCUGGCGAGACCAGUCGGAGACAGCCCCCAAGUGAUAACAAGCGGAAGGCCACCCAGCCGGCUUCCAAUAGCCGGCAAGUGGUGACAGUCGAGGAUCAGCAGCCGGAGGGGCAGCCAGUGCCCAAGCGUCAGAAGGGCGGCAAGCCCAACUGGUUGCCUGCCUUCUCGCACAAGCAGACCCUCGAUGCUCCCUGCAAGUUCCACAGUGGCGCGAAGCCGUCCAACCACACCACUCGGAAGUGUCAUUGGCUCACCAGGAUUGCUAAGGGAGAUGGCCUCCUACCUCCUCCGCCUGUCGGCGUGCCACCUCCUCCGCCCCAACAGUCGGCGGCCCAGCCAGUCGGCGCCAUUCAAGAUGAGUAUCCUGCAGAGCACGGAGCCUAUGUCGUGUUCACUAGUGUGGCUGACGAUAGGCGCAGCAGACGGCAACAACAGCAGGAGGUGUAUGCAAUAGCCUCAAGCACCCCAGAGUUCAUGCACUAGUCCGAGAAGCCCAUCAGCUGGAGCAGGGCCGACCAUCCGGAAGUAAUGCCUUCCCCCGGUUCCUACGCCUUAGUCCUGGAUGCAACCCUUGCAACAGAGAGGCGAGCAGCCCAUUUCUCCAGGGUCUUGAUAGAUGGCGGCAGCAUCAUAAAUAUCCUGUACCGUGACACAAUGGAGAAGUUGGGAAUCAAGCAGAAGCAGCUCCCCCCUAGUCGGACUGUAUUCCAUGGCAUAGCCCCUGGCCUUUCCUGCUCACCAAUCGGCAAGACCCAGAUUGAUGUCCUCUUUGGAGACAAGAACCAUUUCCGUCGAGAGCCAGUAUGGUUUGAGGUGGUGGACCUAGAGAGCCCUUACCAUGCACUGCUUGGCCAGCCUGCCCUGGACAAGUUCAUGGCGGUCCCCCACUAUGCCUACCUCAAGAUGAAGAUGCCGAGUACCAAGGAAAUCCUAACUGUAGUCGGAGACUACAAGAAGUCGGUCUCCUGCACUGUAGACAGUAGCCGGCUGGCAGAGUCCCUCGUGAUUGCAGCCAAGAAGCGGCUCCUAGACCGGGUGGUGGCGAUGGCAGGCAAGAAGCCCGAAAUAUCACCCACCCCCAAGGAGUCGGACGUAGAGGGCUCAUUCAAGCUGGCAAAGGAAACCAAGAAGAUACCCUUGGACCCCGAGCACCCGGAGAGGCACGCUGUCAUAGGUGCGAACCUAGACAGCAAAUAGGAAAGCAAGCUCGUCGAUUUCCUCCAUGAGAAUCGGGACAUCUUUGCAUGGUCUCCCAAAGACAUGCCGGGUGUUCCGACGGAUUUCGCCGAGCACAAACUACAUGUCUGACCUGACGUCAAGCCGGUCAGGCAGCCCUUGCGCCGCCUGUAGGAAGAGAAGAGAAGAGUUGUUCGAGAAGAGAUAGCCCGGCUUCUGGCAGCCGGAUUCAUCAUGGAAGUGUUCUUUCCAGAAUGGCUUGCCAACCCAGCCCUAGUGUUGAAGAAGAACAAGCAGUGGCGUAUGUGUAUCGACUAUACCAGCCUUAACAAGGCCUACCCCAAAGAUCCGUUUGCCCUACCAAGGAUUGAUCAAGUGAUAGACUCCAUAGCCGGAUGCGAGCUGUUGAGUUUCUUUGAUGCAUAUUCAGGCUACCAUCAGAUAAAGCUGAACCCGGACGACAGGCUGAAGACCGCCUUCAUCAUGCCAUUUGGAGCCUUCCGCUAGCUGACCAUGACAUUCGGCUUGCGAAAUGCCGGUGCCACGUUUCAGCGUUGCAUGCAGAAGUGCCUCCUCAAGCAGCUCGGCAGAAAUGCCCAUGUCUAUGUGGAUGAUGUGGUGGUGAAGACGGAGAAGCGCGGCAUGCUGCUAGAAGAUCUCAAGGAAACCUUUGAGAACCUGCGCCAAUUCCAGAUCAAGCUCAACCCAGAGAAAUGCGUCUUUGGAGUACCAGCUGGCCAGCUUCUCUGCUUCCUGGUCUCAGAGUGCGGCAUAGAGUGCAACCCUGUGGAGAUCAAGGCAAUUGAGAGGAUGGAAGUGCCCACCCGACUGCUGGACGUGCAGAAAUUCACCGGCUGCCUGGCAUCAGUUAGCCGUUUCAUCAGCCAGUUGGGCGAGAAAGCUCUUCCCUUAUACCAACUCAUGAAGAAGACCACUUUUUUCGAGUGGAAUGACAAGGUGGACGAAGCAUUUCUCCAACUCAAGAAGAUGUUGGCAACCCCACCUAUCCUGGCGGAUCCGACUGAGAAGGAGCCCAUGCUCCUCUACAUCGCAGCCACCAGUUGGGUUGUCAACAUAGUCAUGGUGGUAGAGGGCAAGGAGGAGAACAGAGCAUUGCCGGUCCAGAGACCGGUGUAUUACUUGAGCGAAGUAUUGUCCGCCUCCAAGCAAAACUACCCACACUACCAAAAGAUGUGCUACGGCAUGCAUUUUGUCGCCAAGAAGCUGAAGCCUUACUUUCAAGAGCACCCAAUAACCGUCGUCUGCACGGCUCCGCUUGCUGAGAUCAUUGGGAGCCGAGACGCCUCUUGCCGAGUAGCCAAGUGGGCUAUUGAUCUAGCCCCUUACACCAUCUACUACCAGCCUCGCACCGCCAUCAAGUCACAAGUGUUGGCCGACUUCCUCCUCGACUGGGCCGAGACCCAGUAUUUGCCGCCUGCACUAGACUCCACCCAUUGGUGGAUGCAUUUUGAUGGUUCAAAAAUGCGCGCCGGUCUGGGAGCCAGCAUCGUCCUCACCUCUCUCAAGGGUGACAAGCUCAAAUCCGUGCUGCAAGUCCACUUCGCCGCCUCCAACAACGUAGCUGAAUAUGAGGCACUCAUACACGGGCUCCGGCUUGCCAAGGAACCCGGAAUCCACGGAUCCUGUGCUAUGGUGACUCCGACUUGGUGGUCAAGCGGUCGUCAGGCGACUGGGACGCCAAGGAUGCAAACAUGGCAAGCUACCGCUUCCUCGUGCAGUAACUCAGUGGAUACUUUGACGGGUGCGAGUUCCUUCACGUGCCAAGAAACGACAACAAGCAAGCAGAUGCCUUGGCACGGAUUGGCUCCACCCGACAAGCAAUACCAGCCGGCGUCGCCCUACGCCGCCUUCUCAAGCCGUCGGUCAAGCCGUCUCCUGAUUCAGACUCCAUCUUUGUGCCGGCCCCUCCCGAAGCAGUCGGAUCCGACUUGACGGUCCCAGAGGCCCGCACAGGGAUUUCGACAGGCGGCCCAGGGACUGCUGCAGCCACACUUGGCUCAGGGACUCCAGAGCCCGGCCCGGGGACUUCAGCAGUUGGCCCAGGGACUUCUUCAGCACAGCAAGCGAAAGCAGCUGCCAACCCGCCACCUCCCGGCCCAACUGCCCUCAUACAAGUUGCAGUGGUGGUUGUCGAAGAAAUUGCAGCACCAUCUUGGGCUCAGCCAAUCCUCAAGUUCUUGGUGAAUAAAGAGCUGCCGACUGAUGAGAUCUCGGCCCGACAAGUGCAAAGGCGAGUAGCAGCCUACACCAUAGUCAACAGAGAGCUAGUGCGACGAAGCGUCACCGGGGUUUAUCAGCUUUGCGUGGAGCUGGACCAAGGCCAAGCAAUACUCAGGGAUAUCCACCAAGGCGAGUGUGGCCACCACGCGUCUUCAAGAUCACUUGUGGCCAAGGCUUUUCGCCAUGGGUUCUUCUGGCCGACUGCUCUUGAAGAAGCCAAAGAACUAGUUCAGAAGUGUCAAGGGUGCCAGAGGUUUCGCUCCAAGCCACAUCUGCCGGCCUCUGCACUCAAGACCAUUCCCAUAGCAUGGCCCUUUGCUGUCUGGGGGCUGGACAUGGUAGGACCAUUCAAGACGGCCCGUGGUGGCAUGACUCAUUUGCUUGUCGCUAUGGACAAGUUCACCAAGUGGAUAGAGGCAAAACCAAUCAAGAAACCGAAUGGACCGACUGGCGUGACCUUCAUCGCCGACAUCACCACGCGAUACGACAUACCACAUAGCAUCAUCACCGACAACGGCACCAACUUUGCCAAGGGAGCCUUGGCGCAUUUCUAUGCAACGCAGGGCAUCUGCCUGGACUUAGCGUCCGUUGCCCACCUGCAGUCAAAUGGCCAAGUUGAGCGUGCAAACGGCCUCAUUCUGUCCGGCCUCAAGCCCCAACUGGUCGAGCCUCUGGAGCAUUCGGUCGACUGCUGGCUCAAUGAGCUGCCGGCCAUCCUCUGGAGCUUGCGCACAACUCCGAACAAGUCAACCGGCUUCACGCCCUUCUUCCUCGUCUACGGUGCCGAAGUCGUCAUCCCGACAAACAUCAAGUUCGACUCCCCAAGAGUAACCAUGUACACCGAGGCAGACGCCAAGGAGGCGCGAGAAGACGACGUCAACUUGUUGGAGGAAGGCCGGCUGUUGGCACUCAGCAGGUCAGCCAUCUACCAGUAGAGUCUGCGCCGAUACUACAACCGCAAGGUGAAGCGAAGAGCCUUCCUAGAGGGAGACCUUGUGCUCCGGCUGAUCCAGUGAACAGCCGGACAGCACAAGCUCUCGGCACCUUGGGAAGGCCCUUUCAUCAUCAGCAAGGUGCUGGGCAACGAUUCCUACUAUCUGAUCGAUGCCCAGAAGCCCAGAGCGUGCAAGAGAGAUGAUUCAGGCAAAGAGACGGAGAGGCCAUGGAACACAAACCUGCUCCAAAGGUUUUACAGUUGAAAGCAGUAUGUAUCACGCUACCUUUUGUACUAUGUAUAAAGACUUCGGGUCCCCCGAGAAGAGCUCGGGGACUACCCUCUUUUAUCUAUAUGAUAAGUGUUGUACCUAUAAGUAUGUGUAGUUUUAUUUCUUCCGCCUGGCACCGGGUUCGACCAGUCGGCCCAGAGCCUCGUCGCCUUCUGCUAUAUGCCACCUCCUGUAGCCGGACAAGUAGUGUGUCGGCACCAAAAACUUCCUUUGUCAGAAGCCACAGCUCGCAGAGCGACUGCAUGGCGGGCAAAGGUUGCAAAACAGUGCCCCACACGAAAAACGACUAAGGAAGGAACGGAUAUAGUAGAGGUCGGCAUUGCACCUAGUCGUCCGGCUGCCGAGCAGCCGGCCGGCCGGCCUAUGCUUUUAUUACCAAACGCUCUGAAUGGCUAAGUACUAGCCCUCCCACAAACAGCUAAAAGUACUCAACCCAGUCGCAGUCCACAGAGCGGCUGCUUGGUCGGCAAGAGGAUAGCCAAGGGAGGGCGGCAAAGGAAAAAACCAAGGAGCAAAAGGGAAGAAAAGCUAGGGGUCGACACAGAGCAAUCAUAGAAUAUUUACAAGGAUAAAGGCCUACCGGCCGACAUUCAAACAAAGUUCGACAUACACCCCGCGGGUGGAACUGAAAUUUAACCAAGUUGUCCAAAACUCUAGUAAAACAGGGGAAAAGAGAAAAUCCUAAGGAGCAGCAGAAGGUUCCGGCUGGGCGGUGCCAGUUGGCGCAGCAGAAGGCUCCGGCUGAAUGCUGGAGUCGGCUGUGCCACCUGACGCGGCAGGCGGCUCCGUUUGCGCAGAAGAAUCGGCGGCGACAGUCAGGACGGCGGAGGGCUGGAGGACGGAGUCAGUGGAAUCCGUCCGAGGAACGGGUGGCUGGUCGAUUCCCGCCUGGCCGUCUCUAGUAACAGUCGGCGCCCCGGUGCACGGCUCGUUGCUUGAGGCCCGGUCAGGCUGGGGCUGACAAUUGAUAACCCACAAGUAUAGGGGAUCGCAACAGCUUUCGAGGGUAGAGUAUUCAACCCAAGUUUAUUGAUUUGACACAAGGGGGAGCCAAAGAAUAUUCUUUAGUAUUAGCAACGCAGUUGUCAAUUCAACCACACCUGGAUAACUUAGUAUCUGCAGCAAAGUAUUUAGUAGCAAAAGUGGUAUGAUAGUAAUGGUAACAGUAGCAAUAGUAAAGAUAAAUGUUUUUGGGUUUUUGUAGGAGUUGUAAUAGUAGCAACAAAAAAGUAAAUAAGCAAAGAACAAUAUAUGAAAAGCUCGUAGGCAAUGGAUCAGUGAUGGAUAAUUAUGCCGGAUGCGAUUCCUCAUGCAAUAGUUAUAACAUAGGGUGAUAUAGAACUAGCUCCAGUUCAUCAAUGUAAUGUAGGCAUGUAUUCCGUAAAUAGUCAUACGUGCUUAUGGAAAAGAACUUGCAUGACAUCUUUUGUCCUACCCUCCCGUGGCAGCGGGGUCCUAGUGAAAACUAAGGGAUAUUAAGGCCUCCUUUUAAUAGAGAACUGGACCAAAGCAUUAACACAUGGCGAAUACAUGAACUCCUCAAACUACGGUCAUCACCGAGAAGUGUCCCGAUUAUUGUCACUUCGGGGUUGUCGGAUCAUAACACAUAAUAGGUGACUAUAGGCUUGCAAGAUAGGAUCAAGAACACACAUAUAUUGAUGAAAACAUAAUAGGUUCAGAUCUGAAAUCAUGGCACUCAGGCCCUAGUGACAAGCAUUAAGCAUAGCAAAGUCAUAGCAACAUCAAUCUCAGAACAUAGUGGAUACUAGGGAUCAAACACUAACAAAACUGACUUGAUUACAUGGUAAAUCUCAUCCAACCCAUCACCGUCCAGCAAGCCUACGAUGGAAUUACUCACACACGGCGGUGAGCAUCAUGAAAUUGGUGAUGGAGGAUGGUUGAUGAUGACGACGGCGAUGAAUCCCCCUCUCCGGAGCCCUGGACGAACUCCAGAUCAGCCCUCCCGAGAGAGAUUAGGGCUUGUGGGCGGCUCCGUAUCGUAAAACGCGAUGAAACUUUCUCCCUCAUUUUUUCCUCCGCGAGACGGUAUAUAUGGAGUUGGAGUUGAGGUCGGAGGAGGUCCUGGGGGCCCACGAGAUAGGGGGCGCGCCCUAGGGGGGCGCCCCCCUGUCUCGUGGAUAGGCCUUGGGCCCACUGGCCCUGAUUCUUUCGCCAAAAAUUCUUAUUAAUUCUGAAAAGUCCCUCCGUGGAUUUGCAGGUCAUUUCGAGAACAUUUCUUUUCUACACAUAAAACAACAUCAUGGUAGUUCUGCUGAAAACAGCGUCAGUCUGGGUUAGUUUCAUCCAAAUCAUGCAAGUUAGAGUCCAAAACAAGGGCAAAAGUGUUUGGAAAAGUAGAUACGUUGGAGACGUAUCAACUCCCCCAAGCUUAAACCUUUGCUUGUCCUCAAUCAAUUCAGUUGAUAAACUGAAAGUGAAAAAGAAAAACUUUUACAAACUCUGUUUGCUCUUGUUGUUGUAAACAUGAAAAGCCAGCAUUCAAGUUUCAGCAAAUAUUAUGAACUAACCAUACUCACAAUAACACAUAGGUCUCACAAUUACUCAUAUCAAUAACAUAAUCAGCUAGUGAGUCAUAAUAAUAUAACUCGGAUGACAACACUUUCUCAAAAUAAUCAUAACAUGAUAUAACAAAAUGGUAUCUCGCUAGCCCUUUCUGAGACCGCAAAACAUAAAUGCAGAGCACCUUUAAAGAUCAAGGACUGACUAAAUAUUGUAAUUCGUGGUAAAAGAGAUCCAGUCAAGUCAUACCCAAUAUAAACCAAUAAUAAUGAAUGCAAAUGACAGUGCGCUCUUCAGCGGGUGCUUUUAAUAAGAAGGGUGAUGACUCAACAUAAAAGUAAAUAGAUAGGCCCUUUGCAGAGGGAAGCAGGGAUUUGUAGAGGUGCCAGAGCUCGAUUUAAAAUAGAGAUUGAAUAACAUUUUGAGCGGCAUACUUUUGCUGUCAACGCAACACCUAUGAGAUGGUUGUAUCUUCCACACUAAAUGCAUUAUAGGCAGUUCCCUAACAGAAUGGUAAAGGUUUAUACUCCCCCAACCACCAACAAGCAUCAAUCCAUGGCUUGCUCGAAACAACGAGUGCCUCCAACAUACAACAACCCUGGGGGAGUUUUGUUUAAUUAUUUUGAUUUGCUUUGAUCUUUUUGGAUCAUGGGACUGGGCAUCCCGGUUACCGGCCCUUUCUUGUGAAUGAGGAGCGGAGUCCACUCCUCUGAGAAUAACCCACCUAGCAUGGAAGAUAUAGGCAGCCCUAGUUGUUACAGGAGCUGCUCGAGCAUACAAAAUAGAAUUUCAUUUGAAGGUUUGGAGUUUGGCACAUACAAAUUUACUUGGAACGGCAGGUAGAUACCGCAUAUAGGAAGGUAUAAUGGACUCAUAUGGAACAACUUUGGGGUUUAAGGAGUUUGGAUGCACAAGCAGUAUUCCCGCUUAGUACAGGUGAAGGCUAGCAAAAGACUGGGAAGCGACCAGCUGAGAGAUCGACAACAGUCAUAAGCAUGCAUUAAAAUUAAUUCACACGAAGUACAAGCAUGAGUAGGAUAUAAUCCACCAUGAACAUAAAUAUCGUGAAGGCUAUGUUGAUUUGAUUCAACUACAUGCGUGAACAUGUGCCAAGUCGAGUCACUCAAUUCAUUUAAAGGAGGGUACCAUCCCAUCAUACCACAUCAUAAUUAUUCUAAUAGCAUGUUGGCAUGCAAGGUAAACCACUAUAACUCAUAGCUAAUCAAGCAUGGCACAAGUAACUAUAAUCUCUAAAUGUCAUUGCAAAUAUGUUUACUUCAUAAUAGCUGACUCAGGAAUGAUGAAUCAUCAUAUUUACAAAAACAAGAGAGGUCGAGUUCAUACCAGCUUUUCUCAUCCCAAUAAGUCCAUCAUAUAUCAUCAUUAUUGCCUUUCACUUGCACGACCGAACGAAGUGUAUAAUAAUAAGAUUGUACGUGCAUUGGACUAAGCUGGAAUCUGCAAGCAUUCAACUCAAGAGAGAAGACAGGUAAUAUGGGCUCCAAAUAUAAAUAAUCAAUCAUGCAUAUGAGAGCCACUAAGCAUUUUCAAUAUGGUCUUCUCGACCCCCAGAGGAAAGAAAAGAAAAUAAAACUAUUUACACGGGAAAGCUCCCAACAAGUAAAAGAAGAAUAAGAAAUCUUUUUGGAUUUUCAUUUUAAUUUCUACUACAAGCAAGGAAAUUAAACUAACUAAUUUUUUUGGUUUUUCUCAAGGUUUAUCAAACACACAAGAAAAAGACUAGAAAAAGGAAAUUUAAACUAGCAAGGAUAAUACAACGAAAGAGUAUGAGCAUCGACGACUAGUGUGUGAACAUGAAUGUAAAGUCGGUGAGAAAUACGUACUCCCCCAAGCUUAGGCUUUUGGCUUAAGUUGGUUUAAUACCAAGGACCACCGCUACUCUCUCCGGUGUAAUGAGAGGUGUAAUCAGGAUACCACUGGUUGGUCAUCUUCAGAUCCCACUAGACAGAUGAUGCACGAUAGGGGUCCAGCUCAGGUUCCGGUUCAGGUUCUGGAGUAAAAGCUUGAGCUCGAUGAUUGUUUACCGCCUCCGGUGUGACCAGAAAUUUUUCUGCAAGCAAAUCAAACAACAGAGGUGCAGGCAAGAUAAUAAUCUCAAAGUGUUUCUUAUUGAAUCUAAGUUUAUACAAGAGCAUCCCAUCUUUGUUAUCAACAAUAAACUUAUGCGGUACCAUGCUCUUGUAAUCUAAAAUGUGAGGAGGCAGUUUUGUCUCCUUUUCCUCAUGGUGCCUAAUGGGUAUCUGAAAAUGUUUAGCAAGACGUGCAGCAUAGAUACCACCAAAUAUGGGAACUUUUGUAUGAUUAAGGGCUAGCCGUUUAGCAACGACGACACCCAUAUUAAAACUAUUGUCUCCAAGCAAAGCAUGUUGAAGCAUGAUAAUAUCAGGAACACUCAAGUUUCCACUAUUCCCACGACCAAUCAAGCAUCUACUAGCAAAUAUGGUAAAGUAGCGUAAAACAGGAAAGUGUAUGCUAGAGACUUUUGCUUUGGAACCCUUCUUUGGCUCUUCUACAGCAAUAAUAUUAACAAAGCCAGCCACAUCUUCACGAUGGGGUUCCUCUAGUUCUCCCUCAUAAGGUAUCCUACAUACCGUGCAAAAAUGAAGUAAAGACAUUUCUUUGAACUCGUCAUAUAAAUAAAAUGAUACUUCAGGCAGUGACUUCUUAGGAUAAAAAUAAAAGUUUUGCACGAAAGUAUUGGUGAGUAAGAGAUACUGAUCGAUUCGGUCGUUGAUGAAACCAGUGAGGCCUGCAGUCUCGAUUAAAGCAUAAAAGUCUUCAUAAAUUCCAGCCUCACUCAAGAAAUCAUCACAUGGCCAUUCACACGGUUGUACUUCCGCUAAGCGAGGAAGAUUAUACUUGACUUUUCCUUCUCUUUAGCUUGUUUUUCUUGGGAACUUUGGCUAGAAGAGCCCCUCAAAAGUUUCCUCAACAUUUUCUGAAAAUUUCUGAAAUUUUAGUAACUUCAAAAUAAAAGUGCAUAAAACUAAACAAGAUUGAUAGCAACUACUCCUACAAGUGCCUAGAGCCCAUAUCAUGCAUUAGAAUUACUUGGGACCUCAAAAAUUUAACAUACAAGCUCAAGAACAGGGUCACCAAGACAACAAGGAUUUGCAAUGAAUAAAGCAAUAGAACAAAAACUAAUUGGACCAAUGGAGGAGUCACAUACCAAGCAACAAUCUCCCAAAGCAGUUUUGUGAAUGGAGCUUUGAGCUAAGAGAUCAAAAAUCGCAGCAAAACGAGCUAGAACUCGUGCUUGAGCUGGAUGGGGAUUUUUUGGGUAGAAGAUGGAGUGUGUGGGUGCUGGCAUAAGUGGAGGGGAGCCACCAGGGGCCCACGAGAUAGGGGGGCGCGACAGGGGGGCGCGCCCUACAUGGGGGGCGCCCUACAGGGGGGGGUGCGCCCUCCUCUCUCAUGGCCUGGUGCUUGCCCCUUUUGCAGUGUUUUCAGUGCCUAAAAUCCUCAAAUAUUCCAGAAAAAAUCAUACUAAAUUUGCAGGGCAUUUGGAGCACUUUUAUUUUCGAACUAUUUUUUAUUGCACGGAUAAUUUAGAAAACAGACGGAUAAUACUAUUUUUGCUUUAUUAAAUCUAAAUAACAGAAAGUAAAAAGAGGGUACAGAAGGUUGUGCCUUCUAGUUUCGUCCAUCUCGUGGUCAUCAAAAUGAACCCGCUAACAAGGUUGAUCAAGUCUUGUUAACAAACUCAUUCCGAAUAACACGGAACCGGAGAAAUUUCCAAUGACACUAAGUUACCUCAACGGGGAUAUGAAAAUCCCCAACAAUAAUAAUAUCAUACUUUUUCUUGACAGUAGGGAGAGGAAAUUCAAAACCUCCAAAAAUGAUAGUUGGAACUUUUUCAAUAGAAUUGAUGCUAUGAACUUGAGAUUGUUUCCUCGGAAAGUGUAUCAUAUGCUCAUUGCCAUUAACAUGAAAAGUGGCAUUGCCUUUGUUGCAAUCAAUAAAAGCCCCUGUAGUAUUAAGAAAAGGUCUACCAAGGAUAAUAGACAUACUAUCGUCCUCGGGAAUAUCAAGAAUAACAAAGUCCAUUAAGAUAGUGACAUUUGCAACCACAACAGGCACAUCCUCACAAAUACCGACAGGUAUAGCAGUUGAUUUAUCAGCCAUUUGCAAAGAUAUUUCAGUAGGUGUCAACUUAUUCAAUUCAAUUCUACGAUAUAAACAGAGAGGCAUAACACUAACACCGGCUCCAAGAUCACAUAAAGCAGUUCUAACAUAAUUUCUUUUAAUGGAGCAUGGUAUAGUUGGAACACCCGGAUCUCCAAGUUUCUUUGGUAUUCCACCCUUAAAUGUGUAAUUAGCAAGCAUGGUGGAAAUUUUAGCUUCCGGUAUCUUUCUUUUAUUUGUGAUGAUAUCCUUCAUGUAUUUAGCAUAUGGAUUUACUUUAAGCAUAUCAGUUAAGCCCAUACGUAAGAAAAUAGGUCUAAUCAUUUCAGCAAAGCGCUCAAAAUCUUCAUCAUCCUUUGACUUGGAUGGUUUAGGAGGAAAGGGCAUGGGUUUCUGAACCCAUGGUUCUCUUUCUUUACCGUGCUUCCUAGCAACAAAAUCUAUCUUAUCAUAACAUUGGUUUCUUGAUUGUGGGUUAUCAAGAUCAAUAGCGGGUUCAAUCUCUACAUCAUUGUUAUUACUAGGUUGAGCAUCAACAUGAACAUUGUCAUUAGCAUUAUCAUCAGGUUCAUGUUCAUCACCUAAUUGCGUUUCAGCAUCAGAAAUAGAAAUAUAAUUGGGAUUCUCAGGUGUGUCUGUAAUAGGUUCACUAGAAGUUUGCAAAGUCCUAUCAUUCUUCUUUUUCUUCUUCUUCUUAGAAGAACUAGGAACAUCUAGAUUAUUUCUCUGAGAAUCUUGCUCGAUUCUCUUAGGGUGGCCUUCAGGAUACAAAGGUUCCUGAGUCAUUCUACUAGUUCUAGUAGCCACUCUUACAGCAAAGUCAUUUUUAUUAUUCAAUUCCUCAAGCAAAUCAAUUUGAGCUUUGAGUACUUGCUCAUCUUGAGUAGCAACCAUAGAAGCAUAUUUACUAACGCGGUGAAGUUCAUCUUUAACUCUAGCCAGAUUAUCACCUACGCGUCCUAUCUCGAAAGCAUUAUUCUUUAACUCUCUACCAACAUAAGCAUUAAAACUUUCUUGUCUAGCCAUAAAGUCAUCAAAUUCAUCUAAGCAUGGGCUAUGAAAUUUAGUAGAGGGUAUUUCAACUUUAUCAUAUCUAUAGGGAGAAUUUACCUUUACUACCUGUGUCGGGUUAUCAAGACAAUGUAGUUCUUCAAGCGGUAUAUUAAGACCAUGUAUUUCUUCAAUAGGAGGUAAAUUCUUAACAUCUUCAGCUUUAAUGCCUUUUUCUUUCAUUGAUUUCUUUGCCUCUUGCAUAUCUUUAGGACUGAGAAAUAAAACACCUCUCUUCUUCGGAGUGGGUUUAGGAAUAGGCUCAGGAGUUGGCUCAAUUGGUUCAGGAAUUACUUCAGGAACUGGCUUGGGAAGAGUCCAAUUAUUUUCAUUAGUCAACAUAUUAUUCAACAGUAUUUCAACUUCGUAGACUGUUCUUUCCCUGAAAACACAACCAGCACAACUAUCCAAGUGGUCCUUGGAAGCAUCGGUUAGUCCAUUAUAAAAGAUAUCAAGUAUUUCAUUUUUCUUAAGAUGAUGAUCAGGCAAGGCAUAAAGCAACCGGAGAAGCCUCCCCCAAGCUUGUGGGAGACUCUCUUCUUUGGUUUGCACAAAAUUAUAUAUUUCCCGCAAGGCAGCUUGUUUCUUAUGAGCAGGGAAAUAUUUAGCAGAGAAGUAAUAAAUCAUAUCCUGGGGACUACGCACACAACCAGGAGCAAGAGAAUUAUACCAAGUCUUAGCAUCACCCUUUAAUGAGAAUGGAAAUAUCUUAAGGAUAUAUAAAUAGCGAGACUUCUCAUCAUGAGUAAAUAGGGUGGCUAUAUCAUUCAACUUGGUAAGAUGUGCCACAAAAGUUUCAGAUUCAAGGCCAUAAAAAGGAUCAGAUUCAACUAAAGUAAUAAUAUCAGGAUCAACAGAGAAUUCAUAAUCCUUAUCAGUAACACAGAUAGGUGAAGUAGCAAAAGUAGGAUCGGGUUUCAUUCUAGCAUUAAGAGACUGCUGCUUCCAUUUAGCUAAUAAUUUCUUAAGAUCAUUUCUAUGAUUGUAAGCAAGAAUAGCUUCAGCAACUUCUUUGUUCAUAACAUAACCCUUAGGAACAAUAGGUAAUACAUAAUCAUUGGGGGAACGUUCAUCCUCACUAUCAUCAAUAAUAGGUUCUUCAACAUUUUCAUUCCCCCUAACUCUAGCAAGUUGUUCAUCAAGAAAUUCACCUAAUGGCAAGUAGUAUCACGCACAGAAGUAGUUUCAUCAUAAGUAUCAUGCAAAGCAGAAGUGGCAUCAUCAAUAACAUGCGACAUAUCAGAAUUGAUAGCAGUAGCAGGUUUAGGUGUCGCAAGCCUAUCAAUAAUGGAAGGAGAAUCUAGUGCAGAGCUAGAUGGCAAUUCCUUACCUCCCCUCGUAGUUGAGGGCAAAAUCUUGGUCUUAGCGUCUUUCAAGUUCUUCAUAGUGAUCAACAGAUAUAAAUCCCAAGUGACUCAGAGAAUAGAGCUAUGCUCCCCGGCAACGGCGCCAGAAAUUAGUCUUGAUAACCCACAAGUAUAGGGGGUCGCAACAGCUUUCGAGGGUAGAGUAUUCAACCCAAAUUUAUUGAUUCGACACAAGGGGAGCCAAAGAAUAUUCUUGAGUAUUAGCAGUUGAGUUGUCAAUUCAACCACACCUGGAUAACUUAGUAUCUGCAGCAAAGUAUUUAGUAGCAAAAGUGGUAUGAUAGUAAUGGUAACAGUAGCAAUAGUAAAGAUAAAUGUUUUUGGGUUUUUGUAGGAGUUGUAAUAGUAGCAACGAAAAAGUAAAUAAGCAAAGAACAAUAUAUGAAAAGCUCGUAGGCAAUGGAUAAGUGAUGGAUAAUUAUGCCGGAUGCGAUUCCUCAUGCAAUAGUUAUAACAUAGGGUGAUAUAGAACUAGCUCCAGUUCAUCAAUGUAAUGUAGGCAUGUAUUCCGUAAAUAGUCAUACGUGCUUAUGGAAAAGAACUUGCAUGACAUCUUUUGUCCUACCCUCCCGUGGCAGCGGGGUCCUAGUGAAAACUAAGGGAUAUUAAGGCCUCCUUUUAAUAGAGAAUCGGACCAAAGCAUUAACACAUGGCGAAUACAUGAACUCCUCAAACUACGGUCAUCACCGAGAAGUGUCCCGAUUAUUGUCACUUCGGGGUUGUCGGAUCAUAACACAUAAUAGGUGACUAUAGGCUUGCAAGAUAGGAUCAAGAACACACAUAUAUUGAUGAAAACAUAAUAGGUUCAGAUCUGAAAUCAUGGCACUCGGGCCCUAGUGAAAAGCAUUAAGCAUAGCAAAGUCAUAGCAACAUCAAUCUCAGAACAUAGUGGAUACUAGGGAUCAAACCCUAAGAAAACUAACUUGAUUACAUGGUAAAUCUCAUCCAACCCAUCACCGUCCAGCAAGCCUAGGAUGGAAUUACUCACACAUGGCGGUGAGCAUCAUGAAAUUGGUGAUGGAGGAUGGUUGAUGAUGACGACGGCGACGAAUCCCCCUCUCCGGAGCCCCGAACGGACUCCAGAUUAGCCCUCCCGAGAGAGAUUAGGGCUUGGCAGCGGCUCAGUAUCGUAAAACACGAUGAAACUUUCUCCUUGAUUUUUUUCUCCGUGAGACGGUAUAUAUGGAGUUGGAGUUGAGGUCGGAGGAGGUCCGGGGGGGCCACGAGAUAGGGGGGCGCGCCCCCCUUUCUCGUGGACUGUCCUUGGGCCCCCUGGCCCUGAUUCUUUCGCCAAAAAUUCUUAUUAAUUCUGAAAAGUCCCUCCGUGGAUUUGCAGGUCAUUCCGAGAACUUUUCUUCUCUACACAUAAAACAACAUCAUGGUAGUUCUGCUGAAAACAGCGUCAGUCCGGGUUAGUUUCAUUCAAAUCAUGCAAGUUAGAGUCCAAAACAAGGGCAAAAGUGUUUGGAAAAGUAGAUACGUUGGAGACGUAUCAACCGUCCACCCCGACCUCCGGCAGGUCGAUGUUGCUCUCCUCCUCCUCCUCCUCCCCUUCUUCCCCUUCAUCGUUGGAGUCGAUGACUUCAGCUGAAUCUUUGCUAUCCUCCGGGUUCAGCCAAGCCACUCCUGCGGCGCUUCGGCGCCUUCCUCGACCACCUCCGGGACGAAGACGCUGGUAUCGUGAAGUCAGCAAUCGCCGCAGCCAUGUUGUUGAGUUCAGCUUCCACCACCGCCAGCUCCUCCUGCGCCUCCAGCCGGAACAUGGUCAACUGGGCUAGGUCUAGCCUAGGGUACCAUGCCUUGACGAAUUCCAAGGCCCGACGCGCUCCUGCCCGGGCUGCUGAGCCUUUCCAGGCUUCCAGGCGGCCGGCCGCCACCUCCAGCUAGUCAGCAGUCCGGCUUGGAGUGCGUGGGGCCGGCAAGCCUGCCCAGAGGGCGGAAACCUCCUGGGCGCCGACGCAUUGAAGGCGGCGCAGCAUUUGAUGGGCAGGCCGAAGGCGGGCCUGGAUGCUAAGGACCUGCUCACCAAGAGUCCGGGGGGGGGCGUCAGUAGCAAUUUGCACGCCCUCUGCCCUUAGCUCCUCGCGCUGGGCCUUGAUCAUCUGGAUCGCAGUGACAGAAUGGCCCGGGAAGAAGCCUGCUUGGGCAGAAGAAAGAAAAAAACCAAAGUUAUAAGCAAGGGAUCGGCCUAGAUGAGGGCCGACAGUUCGAAACGAGAAACCAAGAGAAUGAGGCCUACCGUCGACCAAGUCUUCAAUGCUGCUGAAGCAGGCCAUCAUCUAGGCUUCCUUGUCGGCCCAGGAGGAAUGCUCGACUUCAAACUCGGCGAGGAGGUCAGCCUCCUUCGUCUUCACCUUCAACUGGGCCGCCUUGAGGGCCUCCGCCUGUUCGGCAAGCUGAGCGACCAGGCGGUCCCGCUCUUCGGCCAGCUUGCCGCAUUCCGCCUCCUUGUCCCAGAGGGCGGUGUUGGCUUCGCCCAGCUGCUGCUGCAAGGCGGCGUUGGCCUCUAAAGAAAGAAAGAGAAGGAAGAACUUCAGUCAAAUAAUAAAGAAGGAUGCAGAUAACUGGGGUGAUUCGGCCCGACUGCUCAGCAGUCGGCCCGAACCUCGGGGACUACACCCCGCGGGUGCGCUGUCGCGCCCCUACAGAAGAAAGGAACAGAAUCUUACUUCGGCUCUUGGACAGAUGGCCGGUCUGCGUCUCCAGCUCCUGGACCCUGGAGUUGUAGGCGACUACGCGGAGGUUGUGGUAGUCCUGCAGAGGGGAACAUUAGACAAGAUCAACAUUUUAACUCCGACAAGAUGAAGUUCCGGACCGCCUGCUCAACAGCCGACCCGAAACUUGGGGACUACACCCAGUGGGUGUGCUAGCGCACCCCCAUGAAAGUUGAAAGAAGAUCAAAGAAAUGAAGAAGCAGGAAGCUUAUGCGGAUAGCAGCUCGCGAUUCCAGGAACGUCUCGUUGCAGCGCCUGAGGGCUUCGGCUUCGGCCCGAAGCUUGGCCUGGACGUCGAGGGACGCCCGGUUUAGGGCACCCGUCCCGCCUCCACGCACCCAGCCAGUCGGCGCGGCGAUGGACGCCUCGGUCUCGGGGAUCGAUGAGCUCGCGGCUCCGGUCUCCAGCGGCCGCGGCGCUGAGGCCGCCUUCUAAAGACAGCGGCGCACGGGUGUGCGGACCUGAGGAGUUAGGUCUGUUACCACCACCUUCUCAACCGGUGGCACUGGCGGCUCGGCCGGCUACUCGACCUACGCUUCGCUAGUCGGUGGCGAUGGCGGCACGAAGACAUCAGGCAUGGCCACGUCGCCGCCCUCCCUCUCCAUGACCGGGUGCUCCUCGCCGGCUCCCCGGUCGUUGCUUCGAACUCCGGUGGAGGUGGCGCGGUGUUCAGUGGCGUCACAAGCAGCGUCUCCUGGCGACGUGCGGCCUCCACGAGCCGCUCCCUCUCCACGGCUUCGGCCUCUGCCUACGCCAGCCUCCUCGCUGCGGAGGCUGCAGCCUUGUCCGCCUCCGCCUUCGCCAGGCGGUCGGCCUCUUUGUCACGCGCCUCCUGCGCGUUCCGCUCUAUCGCCUCUCGGAGGUCGGCAGCCGGAUCGAUCCACCGGCUGGUGGAGGAGGUUGUCUCGACCUGAUGACCGAGGCGGCGCCUGACUUCUCGAGGGUGAAAGGGGCCAUGAGAUAUGAAGACACGACAAGGAAUUUAAUUUUGGCCAGAUCGACAGAAGGAGUGAAGUCUAGAGAAAGACACUUACGCCGACACCAUGACGGGCACCUUCGGCUGCCUCGGAUACUUGGCCGCCUUGGCUGCGGCCUCUUGCCGCCUGGUCGCUGCGGCCGGGUUCUUGGGUUUCUUCGACGCGCUGGCAAACAGGGCAGCGCCUUGCUUUCGUUUAUGCUUGCCGCCGCAGGCGGGCGGCCCAGCGGAGGGACCGGCGCCCGUGUUGGCCGUACUCUGAGUGGGGUGUGGCUCGUCCUCGUCAUCAUCGUCGUCGGGCCAGGUCUCCAGGCCGCCGCCUUCCUUGGUGCCACCCGCUCCGCCGUCGUCGGCGCCUGUUGCAUCGUCCGCCAGGGCGGCCUCCCCCAAGUCGGGGUCAUCCUCGUCACUCACCGCUCUGUCUGGGUGGUAGUCACCACCCGGCCCCACGAUGGCGGCCGCCGCCUCGGACAUGUAAAUCUGUGCUCAAGAGAGGAGUCGAAUCAUAAGAAGAGCAAGACCCAAAGACAAAUCUAAAGGAAGAAAUCGAAGGACUUAUGGCAGGCGGCGAAUUGUGGCGGGAGUACGGCCGCUUCCCGUACUGCCAGUUUUCCUCCGACAUCUUGAGGUCGGAGAUCUUGUUCACCAUCCGCGCGACCUCGGCAAGCGGCAUCCCCUUCGUGCAUAGCCGGCACGGGUCGCGAUGCCCGCCCAUCUGGAAGAUCGGAUGAGGGCGGCUCUAGAGCAGGAGGAUCCGGCGCUCGACAAAGGCGACGAGGAGGUCGGAGGCCACGAGGCCCUCUGGCUCUUGGAGCACCAGGAGUCGGCCGAUGGCGGCCGCCGCAUCCGCCGACACCGGCUUCGGCUUGUACCCCCAGUUGGGCCGGAGCCCGGUGGGGGGGCGGCCUCGUUGGCGGCAGGUUGAGGAAGUUGGUAGCAGGAUCUAUGCUCUCGAUGUAGAAUUAGGACUGCUGCCACAUCUUCAUCGACUGGGCCAGCUUGAUGGUGGGGAAGGCAUUCCGCUUCGCCGGCCGGCGCACGGCGACGUAGCCCCCGCACUCGGCCGGCGUGUCCUUGCGGAGGUGCCAAGCUUCCCGUAGAAGAACGCUCCCCAUAGCUCGAUCAUGGGGAGGAUGCCGAUGUAGCCCUCGCACGCCGUGACCAAGGCGGAGAGCAGGCUCACGGAAUUGGGCGUCAGAUGGUGAGGUUGGAGAUGGUUGAAGUCGAGGAAUGAGCGGAAGAAGCCGCUCGCCGGGAGGCCGAAGCCGCGGAGGAAGUGCGAGUGGAAGACGACCCACUCGUCCCCUUGCGGCGCCGGUGAGAUCUCCGUCUCCAGCGGCACCCGCGCCUUGACGAAUGCCGCGCUGGGCACCCGGCGCAUGUCGCUAAGGAAGGUGAUAUGGUCCUCGAUGACCAUCGAGCCGUCCCAGUCGCCGCCCUUCUCACGCGCCAUGGCGGGCGGAGCUGCGGGAGGGGCGAGAGCGUGACGGCGGCGGCGGCAGCACUACGGCCGGCAAGGAGCAGUGACAGCAGCUACGAUGGAGAGUGCACGAGGAGGAAGAAGAAGUGGGAGGGGGCGCACGUGCCUCGCCGCACCCCUCCUUCCCCCUACUUAUAGCCCCUGAUCUAUGAAGCCGAGGGGACAGGGCGUGGGAUGCGGGAUUAACUGCGCCCACGCACCCAUGUCCCCACGAUCUCCACGCAGACUAACUGCGCAGUGAAUGACCGCGGGAAUCGCAACUGCCCGCCUCGGCGCAGUGGAUCCGCUCAUGCGCCAAGGCCCGGUAGUGGCGGGCCCGGCCCACUGUCACGUCCCAUCGGGCGCAUGGGGUGGCAGGAUGGCCGGGCUGGCGGGCGCCGCGUGGCGCCCCUACAAUGGGCGGCGGUCUGAGGAAGCUUAGCAGGCAUGCCACCUAUUCUCCCGCCGUGAAGUUCAAAAUUGGCCGACGACCCCGCCUUGUCGAGGCCGGCCUCCGAAGCCGGCGCGCCACAAGACGGACCAAGAUGGCAGUGCACUGCAAAGCGAAUCAUAGCACUCUCAGGAGCUCGGUGAGGGGGGAAGCCGCUGAGUCUUCACGGCCCCUCGACCGCGACGCCUCGCCGGCUUCGGGGACUACUGUCGGAGUAAUGGGCCACGGGUAGCCUCACCCAGUUCCCAAGACUUAUCAAGACUUUGGGCCGGCUCCGCCUGGCUGGGCCCCAAGCUGAAGCUCCGCCCUCUGGGGAGCAGCUGGCUAGACGGCCGGCUACCAGAGGGCGGCCAACCCCAGCCUACAGCGCUGCGUGUGGCCGGCUCCAGCCCGCCGGCCUUUAGAGAGGGCGGCAUCAAGCAGGCGGACACCUCGCGGCCUCGGAGCAACCGGGCCCCCAUCGAGAGUACAAGUUAGAGCAUGGAUACAGUAAAGCACGUCGCCCCCGACGCCCGGGACAGGCAUGGCUAUAGUGCUCCGUACAGGCAGAGAUCUCCGCACGAUGGGGCACUGUACCAGGUCUCCCCUGACGUCGCUCCGAGCAGGCGGAGUCCUGUUCCCCACGAAGGCCUGUCGGUACGGCCUGCCGGCGGCGGGCCCUAUCGGGCAGAGACUUCGUAGAAGACGGCGAAAGCCCAAUCAGUUGGACUCAGGAAGGGCCGGCCUCCAGCAGACAGUCGUCCCUUGCCCCUAGGCAAGCAUGCCAUUAAACUGAUGAGACCAGGUGUGGCUACAGUGAUCUCCCACCAGGCAGCGGGACUGUAGCCACGCUGAAGAUGACCAAGCCCUCGUCACUGACGGCAUGGCUAUAGUAAGAAGCCACCAACCAGACGGUGGGGCCCACCAGGCGGUGGGCCCCAGCGGUCGGCGGAGAAGCCGGAGGCUGGAGAUACUGCAGCCGGGCCUAGCACCCAGACGAAUUACCAUUGUACCCCUGGGGGGUAGGCCUAUAUAAACCCCCCAGGGAACCCAUGCAAAGGGUUCCAACUCUGAUAGAACUAGCCAGUUACCUAGAGCAGGGAAGAGCUAGCCUUGCCUUCUCCUACCUCUAGACACAGCUCAAGGAGCAACUUGUAUCACUAGUGCCAUAGUGAUCAUGCGGAGACCCCACAGAGCGGGAGUAGCGUAUUAUCUCCAUGGAGAGCCCCUAACCUGGGAAAAGUUCGUCGGCGUAUGUGUCUACGCCUUAUCCCGCUUCCAGGCACCGGCAAUGUUCUACUCGCUCCCACCAUGAUAAGCCAUCCGUUGGCAUAUGUCGCACCCAACCCCCGACUGUUUAGUUCUUUAGUUAGAAGCUCAAUCCUCUCCUUAUCAUUGUCAUUUGUUUUAUCUUGAUUAACAUGAUUAAUUGACGUUUCAUCAUAGCAUUCAUCACUAGAGUUGUCAACAAGUAAAUCAUCAUCACCUAACAAGUCAUCAUCAUCACUAUAGAAAUCAACAUAUUCGGGGUGUGAUACCUUUGGGCCUUUAGCCAUGAAGCAUCUUCCAAGUCCUUCAUUUGGUGAAUCAAAUAUGUCAUAGGAGUUGGUUGACACAAGUGCUAGACUGGCAACACCUUCAUCUUGAGUAUGUUCGGAGUCGGAGUGAUAGCUUCUCUCGGAGUGAUUGUCGGAGUCGGAGCAGGAUGCCCAUUCACCAACAUGAGCUUGAUGUCUUCGUUUUGUGUAGCUCCUUGAUGACUUGUCCUUCCUUUCCGAAUCCUUGCUUCUUCGGGGUGUUCUUCGUUCAUAACAAUCAUCUCUACUCCUCUCUCUUGGUGGUGAUUCUUCUCUUCUACUUCUUCUCUUAGGUAAUUCUUCUCUUCUCUUGUAGGGAGCCGUACACUCAUUGGAAUAGUGUCCGGGUCUUCCACAAUUGUAGCAAUUACGCUCUCGACUAGAAGAUCUUUUGUCAUUGUAGGAACUUGACUUGGAUCUUCUUUCCUUGCUUCUACUCUUGUAGAACUUGUUGAAGUUCUUCACCAUUAGGCUCAAUUCUUCAUUGAAGGUUUGUUUCUCACUUGAUGAUGUGGGAGCGUCACAUGAGGCUUUGUAAGCACCACUUGACUUGUUGUGGAGCUCCUCCUUAUCCUUGAGUGACAUCUCAUGAGCAACAAUUCUUCCAAUGACCUCCGUUGGCUUGAGAUUCUUGUAAUUGGGCAUCAUUUGGAUCAAUGUGCACAAGGUAUCAUAGUUUCCAUCCAAGGCUCUUAGGAUCUUCUUGAUGAUGAAUUUGUCAGUAUCUCUUCACUUCCGAAGCCGGCGAUCUCAUUUGUAAUGAGAGCAAGCCUAGAGUACAUUUCAGCGACGCCUUCACCAUCCUUCAUCUUGAACUUGUCAAGUUGAAUUUGAAGCACAUCCAACUUGGAUUACUUGACGGAGUCGGUACCUUCGUGCAUAUCAAUCAAAGUGUCCCAAAUUUCCUUUGCAUUCUCAAGACGACUGAUUUUGUUGAAUUCUUCGGGGCACAAUCCGUUGAAGAGGAUGUCGCAAGCUUGAGCGUUGUAUUGCAGCAUCUUCAACUCUUCCGCGCUAGCUUCACGGUUCGGUUCUCUCCCAUCAAAGAAUUCACCUUGCAAGCCAAUACACACAAUAGCCCAAACGGCGGGGUUAUGUCCAAGAAUAUGCAUUUUCAUCUUAUGCUUCCAACUAGCAAAAUUAGUACCAUCAAAGUAAGGACCUCUACGGUGAUAGUUUCCCUCGCUAGACGCCAUACUCUCCUAGGUUGUGAAACCAAGGCUAUGAUUACCAAAAGCUAUGGAAAUCAAAGCAAAUGGAGACCAAAGCUCUGAUACCACUUGUAGGAUCGAAAGUAUGUCUAGAGGGGGGGGUGAUUAGACUACUUGACCAAAUAAAAACUUAUCCUUUUCCCAAUUUUAGUUCUUGGCAGAUUUUAGCAACUACGGACAAGUCAAGCAAUCUUAACACAAUUCAAGCAAGCAUGCAAAGAGUAUAUGAGCAGCGGAAAGUAAAGCAUGCAACUUGCAAGAAUGUAAAGGGAAGGGUUUGGAGAGUGCAAACGCAAUAGGAGACACGGAUGUUUUUGUCGUGGUUCCGAUAGGUGGUGCUAUCGUACAUCCACGUUGAUGGAGACUUCAACCCAUGAAGGGUAACGGUUGCGCGAGUCCACGGAGGGCUCCACCCACGAAGGGUCCACGAAGAAGCAACCUUGUCUAUCCCACCAUGGUCGUCGCCCACGAAGGACAUGCCUCACUAGCGGUAGAUCUUCACAAAGUAGGUGAUCUCCUUGCCCGUACAAACUCCUUGGUUCAACUCCACAAUCUUGUCAGAGGCUCACAAGUGACACCUAGCCAAUCUAGGAGACACCACUCUCCAAGAAGUAACAAACGGUGUGUUGAUGAUGAACUCCUUGCUCUUGUGCUUCAAAUGAUAGUCUCCCCAACACUCAACUCUCUCUCAUAGGAUUUUGAUUUGGUGGAAAGAAGAUUUGAGUGGAAAGCUACUUGGGGAAGGCUAGAGAUCAAGAUUCAUAUGGUAGGAAUGGAAUAUCUUGGCCUCAACACAAGUGUAGGUGGUUCUCUCUCAGAAAAUGUAAGUUGGAAGUGUAGGUUCAUUCUGAUGGCUCUCUCCACGAAUGAAGAGGAGGUGGAGGGGUAUAUAUAGCCUCCACACAAAAUCUAAUCGUUACACACAACUUGCCAAUCUCGGUGGGACCGAAUUGAGAAACUCGGUCGGACCGAUUCACCAAAUCUAGUGACCGUUAGGAUUUUUGGUGGGACCGACAUGCAACUCGGUAGGACCGAUAUGGUUAGGGUUAGGUCAUAACGUAAUCUCGGUGAGACCAAUUACACAAACUCGGUGGGACCGAUUUUGGUAAUAAGGUAAACUCGGUGGAACCGAUUCGCUCAUCUCGGUUGGACCAAAAUGUUACGAAAGGAAAACAGAGAGUUUACGUUGCAAUCUCGGUGGGACCGAUCACUCAUCCCGGUGGUACCGAAACAUUACGAAGGGAAACAGAGAGAUUACAAUCCCAUUUCGGUGAGACCGAGAUCCCUAUCGGUGAGACCGAUUUGCCUAGGGUUUGUGGCAGUGGCUAUGACAUCUGAACUCGGUGGCGCCGGAUGGAAAGAAUCGGUGGGGCCGAGUUUGACUUUUGGUUUAGGUCAUAUAUGGAUGUGAGAACGUAGUUGAGGGCUUUGGAGCAUAUCACUAAGCAUUUUGAGCAAGAACCUCAUUAAGCAACACCUCAUCCCUCCUUGAUAGUAUUGGCUUUUCCUAUAGACUCAAUGUGUUGGAUCACUAAAAUAGAAAAUGUAGAGUCUUGAGCUUUGAGCUUUGUAACGCCCCGGAUUCGAUGCGCCAGGUGUCUUCCAGUUAUUCGCCGUUGUUGCCAUGUCAUUUUCUUGCAUCUUGCAUUUUAUCAUGUCAUCAUGUGCAUCUCAUUUUGCAUACAUGUACGUCUCAUGCAUCCGAGCAUUUUCCCCGUCGUCCGUUUUGCGAUCCGGCACUCCUAUGUCCUCCGGCGUCCCCCUUUUGUCUCUCGUUGUGAGAGGGUAUUAAACGUUCUCGGAAUGGACCGAGUCUUGUCAAGCGGCCUUGGUACACCACCGGUAGACCGCCUGUCAAGUUUCGUGCCAUUUGGAGUACGUUUGAUACUCCAACGGUUAACCGGGUAACCGUCAAAGCCCUCUUUAUGUUGCAGCCCAACACCCCUCCAAAGUGGCCCAUAACCCAUCCAAACCCCCUCCAUCCAUGCGGUCGUUCGAUCACGAUCGCGUGGCCGAAAACCGCACCUCAUUUAGACUCUCCUAGCUCUCUCUACCUAUUUAAACACCCCCUCCCUCGAAAUUCGCGGAUGAAACCACCCCAAACCCUAAAUCUUCCCCUCUGCGCUGCGCCGGACAUUUCCAACCCCAGCCGGACGCGUUCGCCGCCGCGCCCGAGCCAACAUGUGGUGCUCCCCGCCAACAGCCGNNNNNNNNNNNNNNNNNNNNNNNNNNNNNNNNNNNNNNNNNNNNNNNNNNNNNNNNNNNNNNNNNNNNNNNNNNNNNNNNNNNNNNNNNNNNNNNNNNNNNNNNNNNNNNNNNNNNNNNNNNNNNNNNNNNNNNNNNNNNNNNNNNNNNNNNNNNNNNNNNNNNNNNNNNNNNNNNNNNNNNNNNNNNNNNNNNNNNNNNNNNNNNNNNNNNNNNNNNNNNNNNNNNNNNNNNNNNNNNNNNNNNNNNNNNNNNNNNNNNNNNNNNNNNNNNNNNNNNNNNNNNNNNNNNNNNNNNNNNNNNNNNNNNNNNNNNNNNNNNNNNNNNNNNNNNNNNNNNNNNNNNNNNNNNNNNNNNNNNNNNNNNNNNNNNNNNNNNNNNNNNNNNNNNNNNNNNNNNNNNNNNNNNNNNNNNNNNNNNNNNNNNNNNNNNNNNNNNNNNNNNNNNNNNNNNNNNNNNNNNNNNNNNNNNNNNGCGUCGCCCGCGACCCGCGCCGCGCCUCGCCUCCUCUCCGCCUCUCGUCGGCCGUCCAGCCCCGCGGCUUCGCCGCCGUCCCGUCGCGGUUUCACCUCUCCACGCCAGAGUCCGGCCAGAUCCAGGGAGCCCGCGCCCGGAGCCGCCAUUUCCGGACCCCAUCGCUCCCUCGUCGUCUCCGACCACGCCCCGUCGCCGAAACCACCGUCCCCGAGCUCGCUGGAGCUCCCCGUCGCCGGAUCCGGAGAAGGUGGACGAGAUCCACCACUCCCUCGAUCCAAACGCCCGCGCCCGAUCCGAAUCUCUCCGUCCCGCACGACCUCGUCCAGUUUCAGAGGUUGAAAUUCCACCAAGUCCCUGUAAUUUUUGCAUUCUGGUGAUCUGUUUAGCAUGCCAUAACUUCAUGUGUGCUGCUCCGUUUUGCAUGCAUGAUAUGUCAAAAUGUUCAUUGAGAGAUGCUAUUCAUUUCACUCCAUUAUGUCAUGCUUGUUUGAGAUCAUCUUGUUGCCCGAAUCAUGGUUGCAAGAGUGCUAUAUGAUGUUAACUGCUGUCUGUUAACAGAACUUGAUGAGUUGUCUUUUUCGUUGCAUUUUGUGUGUGCAUCCUAUGAGCAUGAGCUCUACAUGUGUUUUGAACUACAUCAUACAAUCUUCACAGUGGUGCAAUCCAUGUAUUUUUGUGAAUCUUGUAGUGAGUGAAUCGAGCUUGUUAAGUAGGGUACUUAUUGUUGCUAUUUUGCUAGGCUGAAUCUGCUACAUCAUGAUGUUAUGUAAACCUGCUGCUACAAGUCAUUCUAUGCAUAAUAUGGAGAUGUCCACUAAGGAUGUUUUGUUAUACAUGUCAUUCUCUAUCCAUCCAUGCCCUAGUUGCAUUUAUAGCCUACUGUAGCUUGUUGUAAUCUUACUCUCAAAUUGCUAUAUAAUGUUGUUGUCAGCCUAUUAACAUUAAGAUCAGUUUUUCCAUGUGAUUUGCUAGUGAUCCAUGAACCCUAUUUACUUGAUCGUGCCAUGCUUAGCUUCAUUAACAUGUUUUCUUACUGUUGGUUGCCUUGCCGUGCCAUGUAUUUCUCUGUGGUGAGUGGUUCAAGCUCACCAACAUGACUAAUUGUUUUUCCUGCCAUGUAUGAAUCUGUCAUAUAACUUGCUAUGUUUACAUGGGUGCCAUCAUAUCUUCUGAUCUUUUUUGGCUCAUGGUCACUAAAGGACUUUUGUUCUAUGCAUUUAACAGUACCAUGCCAUGCCUUAAGUUGCCAUGUUAAGUUCUUGUAGCAUGUUGUUUGAUAGCUCUAAACAUUGCAACCUGAUGUUAUUUCUACAAAGUGUGAAACUGAUAUUAUUUGCAAUCUUGCCAUGCGUUUUUGAGCAUGUUCUAGUGAUUUCUGGAGAUAACUCAGUGUUCAUGUGUUGUUAUGAUUUACAUGUACAUCACGUCCAUGUCUUUUGUUCUUAUGUUGAGGUGUUGUAGCAUAUUGUUUUGAUGCUUGCAAUAUGCCUAGUUGCUGUUUUGGACAGAUUGUUGCUAUAACUUGUUUCAUGUGUGUGUUGAACCGUUGCUCUGUUUUGAGUGUGCUCUAUAUGAAACUUGCUUGAUGUUGCAUGUAGUUUCAUAUUAUCAUGUUGCAUCCUUUUUUUGAGGUGUUUGCUUAAUGUUUGGAUGCAUUUAGCAUCAAUACCAUGUUUAACUUGUUUUGCUCAUAUCUUAUAGGCCGUAGCUCCGAACUAAAUGAACUUUAUAUGUAACUUGACUAGAAUUUCGUGUAGAUCAUCUUGGUGCAUCUUAACUUGAUGUUUAACAACUUGAACAUAAGGUUUAUUCAGAUCUGGACCAAUUUCGAAAUUUGCAUAUGAGGACUUACCAGAAUUGUUAUAUGUUGUUUCCGGCCUCAUUUAAACUUGCUUUGAUGUGUUGCUCUUGUAUGCAUCAUCUCUUGCCAUGAGUAGCUUAAUGUAGCUUUGCCAUGCAUCAUGCUUGUUGUCCAUCAUGUCUUGUCUAUGUGUGGUGUGUUUACCAUGUUGUGUGCUUCUUCUCGAUAGUUCCCGUUUUCGUUGCGAUCGUGAGGAUUCGUUCGUCUACGCUUGGUUCGUCUUCGUGGCUUCAUCUUCUUCAUGGACUCGUUCUUCUUCCUAGAGGUAUUUUAGGCAAGAUGACCGUCACCUUGGAUCUCACUACUAUCAUUGCUAUGCUAGUUGCUUCGUUCUAUCGCUAUACUGCGCUACGUAUCACAUGUUUAUCAAGCCUCCCAAAUUGCCAUGUCAGCCUCUAACCUUUGUCACCUUCCUAGCAAACCGUUGCUUAGCUAUGUUACCGCUUUUGCUCAGCCUCUCUUAUAGCGUUGUUAGUUGCAGGUGAAGUUGAAGAUUGCUCCAUGAUGGACAGGAUUAUGUUGGGAUAUCACAAUAUCUCUUGUUUAAUUAAUGCAUCUAUAUACUUGGUAAAGGGUGGAAGGCUCGGCCUUAUGCCUGGUGUUUUGUUCCACUCUUGCCGCCCUAGUUUCCGUCAUACCGAUGUUAUGUUCCCAGAUUUUGCGUUCCUUACGCGGUUGGGUGAUUUAUGGGACCCCCUUGACAGUUCGCUUUGAAUAAAACUCCUCCAGCAAGGCCCAACCUUGGUUUUACCAUUUGCCUCACCUAGCCCUUUUUCCCUUGGGUUUCCGGAGCCCGAGGGUCAUCUUUAUUUUAGCCCCCCAGGCCAAUGCUUGUCUAAGUGUUGGUCCAAACCGAGCGAUGUCCGGCGCCCCCUGGGCAACCAGGGUCUAUGCCAACCCGACGUCUGGCUCAUCCGGUGUGCCCUGAGAACGAGAUAUGUGCAGCUCCUAUCGGGAUUUGUCGGCACAGCGGGUGGUCUUGCUGGUCUUGUUUUAUCAUUGUCAAAAUGUCUUGUAAACCGGGAUUCCGAGUCUGAUCGGGUCUUCCUGGGAGAAGGUAUAUCCUUUGUUGAUCGCGAGAGCUUAUCAUGGGCUAAGUUGGGACACCCCUGCAGGGUAUAAACUUUCGGAAGCCGUGCCCGCGGUUAUGGGCAGAUGGGAAUUUGUUAAUGUCCGGUUGUAGAUAACUUGACACCAAAUACGAAUUAAAACGCAUCAACCGCGUGUGUAGCCGUGAUGGUCUCUUUUCGGCGGAGUCCGGGAAGUGAACACGGUCUUUGGGUUAUGUUUGAUGUAAGUAGGAGUUCAGGAUCACUUCUUGAUCAUUGUUAGCUUCACGAUCGUUCCUUUGCUUCUCUUCUCGCUCUUAUUUGCGUAUGUUAGCCACCAUAUCAUGCUUAGUCGCUGCUGCAACCUCACCACUUUACCCCUUCCUUUCCCAUUAAGCUUUGCUAGUCUUGAUACCCAUGGUAAUGGGAUUGCUGAGUCCUCGUGGCUCACAGAUUACUACAACAACAGUUGCAUGUACAGGUUAUGCGAUGAUCAUGACGCGAGAGCGAUGUUUGCUUGUUUUGGAGUUCGUCUUCUGCUUCUUCUUCGAUCAGGGGAUAGGUUCCAGGUCGGGAGCCUGGGCUAGCAGGGUGGAUGUCGUUUGUGUUUCAUCUGUAGUCGGAUGAUGCUAUUAUGUAUUGUGAUGUUGUAUUCGUGUGGCAUUCUAUGCCUUUUGUAUGUAUCCCCAUCUAUUAUGUAUUGUUAAUGUAAUGAUAUCCACCUUGCAAAAGCGUUUCAAUAUGCGGUUCUAUCCUUGGUGGGACCUUCGAGUCUCUUUAGGAUAGUAUCGCAUAUUGGGCGUGACAAGCUUGAGCCAAUCCUUUUGUCCUUAGCAUUUUGAGGGGUCCACUUUUCUCAUCCAUGCCAUGCCAUUCAUUUAGCUUUCCUGAAAUAUUUAUCUUGAAAUAGCAUUAGCUCAAUGAGCUAUAUGUUGUUAGGAAUUACCAAAACCACCUAGGGAUAGUUGCACUUUCACAAAGCUAUCGCAUGGACUGGAAUUUAAAUGUUCAUACAUCUCACUUCUACAGAGAGCCACAUCAACACAAAAUAAUCACAAUAGGUAAUCAGGAUAUCACAAGAAACUAACUGACAGAAAAUUCUCAUACAUUGAAAUAGUAAAACAUAUUACAACUCCACACUAAAUUUCAACACAUAAUUCACAAGAAGUAAUCUGAAGUUUUACAAACCACUAGCUGAUGAACAUGGCACAAAAUAUUGAACUAGUACAAAAUAUAGUUGAUCAAGUCUCCACAGUAACUGUUCACAAAAUUACACAACGAGAGAGAUGCAGUUUAACGGUAGUAGAGGUUCAGCAAGGAGAGAAGGUGCAGCAGCAGUGAGAGAGCAUCAAUUGUUUUGGGGAAAGGUAGUAGCAGCCAGCAGGGAUGUGGGAGAGGAGCAGCAGAGAGGUAGAGAGCAGCAGCAGCGGCAGCAUUGAGAUGGAGCAGCGAGGGUUGAGAGAAGGGAAGCAGUAGUUGGCAAGUGGAGGUUGAGAUUCAGAGAAGGCGGAGAGCAUGCAGGAAAGUAUGAGUGAAGAAGAGAAGUGGAGGAGCAGCCAGGGGGCGCUGGAGAAGAAAGAAGUAGCGGGCUAGGUUUGAGGGCGAGCACCAGCCGGUUGAAGGAGGAGGAAUAGCAGCGGUGAGAAAAGAGCAGCAGCAGUAGGGAGAUGGCUGUAGGCGCAGCGGCGGCGGCUGAGAUUGAUGUAUGUUGCGGUGGAUGGGGUGUUGGAGGCCGCUAGUGCUGUGAACAAAGGGGUAAGGUAGGAUGGCUGGGACGCGCACCACCACGACGGCCUAGCCAUGGCGUCGGCCGGAGGUGGAGAAGGAGGGUGAGGGAAAGAGAGAAGUGCCAGGCCCGAUUUGGGAAUGGAGGCUGCUAGGGAUUUUGAUCCCCUCUUCACAUCUGCACCUUUGCAUUUUGGCCCUCCUAAUUCUCUUCUUUUGCCUCAAGUAGAUCCCCAUUCUUUUUUAGCAAUCCCCCCUGGGUCUUUAAUUCUUCAUAAUCAGUCCCUCCUCUUAUUAUUUCCCUUAGUCUCAUAGUCGGAAUCAUGAAGUUUAUAGUGCCUUUGCGCACUUUUCUGCAAAAGAAACAAAUGACUAGUAAAUGUUCCCUUUUUAUGAUUAUCAUGCAAACAGUCAAUCAAACAUAGCAAGAAUGGAUGAAUAGAUCACAAUAGAUGGUAUAUUUGAGUGCGAAUUAUAUAUGUGAAAUAUACUUAUCAAGUUCCCGCACACUUAAAUCUUUGCUUGUCCUCAAGCAAAGGAAUAUGACAAAGGCAAGAUAGUGAAUAGUAAACUGAUAAAGAAUGUCCUAGUAAAAUAGAUCUCCGAAUGAUGCAUGCUUUGGACUUAGCUAGUGAAAAUUAAUGGUUAGGAGUGCUUUAAAGCGGCAGGAUACUAGUAGACUUGACCAUUUUAAACUUUUAUAAAGAUAAAAGAAUAUCAGCCAGUUUAAAUGUGGAUUGUGCCACAAGGUUCCUAAAGAGAGCAUGAUCCCGAGAGACACCUAUCACUAGGAACACAACAUUGUGGUAGAACCACUUAUUGGAUUUGAAGGAAGCAACAAAGAUAAUAUUUUACUGGUCUCACCAAAGGAACAUACCACCGAUCCCACGGACAGGCCGUCGUGCUGGUGCGCCUUCCAAAAUGAUCGGGUGUAAGUACAGUGGGGUAUUUCGCCCAAAUCUGCAAGUGUGUCAUGUUCUCCAUAGGGACUAGGCACAUCAGCGUCUAUGCUCAGUUAAAUCUAGAUAAUACAAUUCAAAUGAUGAUUGAGGGAAAUAAACCUAAACUAUCAUAUUUCAUAAAAAACGUCGACAAAGAAGAUGCAAACAAGCAUAGGGGGGAUAAGAAUGCAAUCACUGUAUUUUUGGUAUUUUUUUAGGCUUGAGAAAUUAGAAACUAACAUAAAGGGAAACGACAGGACAUGAACACAUAUAGCAUAAUAGAUAUGUUUCGCAUUACAAACAUAUUUGUCACAGGGACAAAGCUAUCACAUGGAAUGGACUUUAAAUGUUCAUACAUCUCACUUCUACAGAGAGCCACAUCAACACAAAAUAAUCACAAUAUGUAAUCAGGAUAUCACAGGAAACUAACUGACAGAAAAUUCUCAUACAUUGAAAUAGUAAAACAGAUUACAACUCCACACUAAAUUUCAACACAUAAUUCACGAGAAGUAAUCUGAAGUUUUACAAACCACUAGCUGAUGAACAUGGCAUAAAAUAUUGAACUAGUACAAAAUAUAGUUGAUCACGUCUCCACAGUAACUGUUCACAAAAUUACACAAUGAGAGAGAUGCAGUUUAACAGUAGCAGAGGUUCAGCAAGGAGAGAAGGUGCAGCAGCAGUGAGAGAGCAUCAGUUCUUUUGGGGAAAGGUAGUAGCAGCCAGCAGGGAUGUGGGAGAGGAGCAGCAGAGAGGUAGAGAGCAACAGCGGUGGGAGCAUUGAGAUAGGAGCAGCGAGGGUUGAGAGAAGGGAAGUAGCAGUUGGCAAGUGGAGGUUGAGAUUCAGAGAAGGCAGAGAGCAUGCAGCAAAGUUUGGGUGAAGAAGAGAGGUGGAGGAGCAGCAAGGGGGCGCUGGAGAAGAAAGAAGCAGAAGUCUAGGUUUGAGGGCGGGCACCAGCAGGUUGAAGGAGGAGGAAUAGCAGCGGUGAGAAAAGAGCAGCAGCAGUAGGGAGAUGGCUGUAGGCGCGGCGGCGGCGGCUGAGAUUGAUGUAUGUUGUGGUGGACGGGGUGUUGGAGGCCGCUGGUGCUGUGGACGGAGGGGUAAGGUAGGGUGGCUGGGACGCGCACCACCACGACGGCCUGGCCAUGGCGUCGGCCGGAGGUGGAGAAGGAGGGUGAGGGAAAGAGAGAAGUGCCAGGCCCGAUUUGGGAAUGGAGGCUGCUAGGGAUUUUGAUCCCCUCUUCACAUCUGCACCUUUGCAUUUUGGCCCUCCUAAUUCUCUUCUUUUGCCUCAAGUAGAUCCCCAUUCUUUUUUAGCAAUCCCCCCUGGGUCUUUAAUUCUUCAUAAUCAGUCCCUCCUCUUAUUAUUUCCCUUAGUCUCAUAGUCGGAAUCAUGAAGUUUAUAGUGCCUUUGCGCACUUUUCUGCAAAAGAAACAAAUGACUAGUAAAUGUUCCCUUUUUAUGAUUAUCAUGCAAACAGUCAAUCAAACAUAGCAAGAAUGGAUGAAUAGAUCACAAUAGAUGGUAUAUUUGAGUGCGAAUUAUAUAUGUGAAAUAUACUUAUCAAGUUCCCGCACACUUAAAUCUUUGCUUGUCCUCAAGCAAAGGAAUAUGACAAAGGCAAGAUAGUGAAUAGUAAACUGAUAAAGAAUGUCCUAGUAAAAUAGAUCUCCGAAUGAUGCAUGCUUUGGACUUAGCUAGUGAAAAUUAAUGGUUAGGAGUGCUUUAAAGCGGCAGGAUACUAGUAGACUUGACCAUUUUAAACUUUUAUAAAGAUAAAAGAAUAUCAGCCAGUUUAAAUGUGGAUUGUGCCACAAGGUUCCUAAAGAGAGCAUGAUCCCGAGAGACACCUAUCACUAGGAACACAACAUUGUGGUAGAACCACUUAUUGGAUUUGAAGGAAGCAACAAAGAUAAUAUUUUACUGGUCUCACCAAAGGAACAUACCACCGAUCCCACGGACAGGCCGUCGUGCUGGUGCGCCUUCCAAAAUGAUCGGGUGUAAGUACAGUGGGGUAUUUCGCCCAAAUCUGCAAGUGUGUCAUGUUCUCCAUAGGGACUAGGCACAUCAGCGUCUAUGCUCAGUUAAAUCUAGAUAAUACAAUUCAAAUGAUGAUUGAGGGAAAUAAACCUAAACUAUCAUAUUUCAUAAAAAACGUCGACAAAGAAGAUGCAAACAAGCAUAGGGGGGAUAAGAAUGCAAUCACUGUAUUUUUGGUAUUUUUUUAGGCUUGAGAAAUUAGAAACUAACAUAAAGGGAAACGACAGGACAUGAACACAUAUAGCAUAAUAGAUAUGUUUCGCAUUACAAACAUAUUUGUCACAGGGACAAAGCUAUCACAUGGAAUGGACUUUAAAUGUUCAUACAUCUCACUUCUACAGAGAGCCACAUCAACACAAAAUAAUCACAAUAUGUAAUCAGGAUAUCACAGGAAACUAACUGACAGAAAAUUCUCAUACAUUGAAAUAGUAAAACAGAUUACAACUCCACACUAAAGUUCAACACAUAAUUCACGAGAAGUAAUCUGAAGUUUUACAAACCACUAGCUGAUUAACAGGGCAUAAAAUAUUGAACUAGUACAAAAUAUAGUUGAUCACGUCUCCACAGUAACUGUUCACAAAAUUACACAAUGAGAGAGAUGCAGUUUAACAGUAGCAGAGGUUCAGCAAGGAGAGAAGGUGCAGCAGCAGUGAGAGAGCAGCAGUUCUUUUGGGGAAAGGUAGUAGCAGCUAGCAGGGAUGUGGGAGAGGAGCAGCAGAGAGGUAGAGAGCAACAGCGGUGGGAGCGUUGAGAUAGGAGCAGCGAGGGUUGAGAGAAGGGAAGUAGCAGUUGGCAAGUGGAGGUUGAGAUUCAGAGAAGGCAGAGAGCAUGCAGCAAAGUUUGGGUGAAGAAGAGAGGUGGAGGAGCAGCAAGGGGGCGCUGGAGAAGAAAGAAGCAGAAGUCUAGGUUUGAGGGCGGGCACCAGCAGGUUGAAGGAGGAGGAAUAGCAGUGGUGAGAAAAGAGCAGCAGCAGUAGGGAGAUGGCUGUAGGCGCGGCGGCGGCGGCUGGGAUGGAUGUAUGUUGUGGUGGACGGGGUGUUGGAGGCUGCUGGUGCUGUGGACGGAGGGGUAAGGUAGGAUGGCUGGGAGGCGCCCCACCACGAUGGCCUGGCCGUGGCGGCGGCUGGCGGUGGAGAAGGAGGGUGAGGAAAAGAGAGAAGUGCCAGGCCCGAUUUGGGAAUGGAGGCUGCUAGGGAUUUUGAUCCCCUCUUC
rnacentral:lncRNA from 1 species